AAAGAAAUCAUUAAUUUCCAAAUGCAAGUGAAAACUCACUAGACUGCAUGUCAGAAACCUAACUGCAGACUGAGUGUUGAGUUUAACAUCACAGAGUAAUCAUUAAACAUUGGUAUUUGAUUAAAACAAGAAAAAUAAGAGACACAGAGCUGGGUCUACUUUACAUGGGAGGUCACUCAACUUCUGUGAUGCUGUUUUAGCAUUAAUUUAAUCUGUGGUAAUCAUCUGGCUAUUUCUAUUACAGUUCCAGGGGAAUAAAACAUUUUCAAAUCACUUCAUCUCAACAAAUAGUAGUGUGCUUUAAUUAUCAUUAAUCAAAAGAAAGAUGGGUUUCUGAAAGUAAGCUCUCUGCUAGAUAAACUGGUCACUGGAAACAAUGACCACGGCUUACUGCCGUCAUAUAAAUCUUUGGUCACAGACAUGAUCUCAUUCACUCCUAAGGGCAGCAGCUCUGUGUUCUCAUGACUGCCAUGUAUGAAUACACAAAAUGGGGUUUUAUUCCAUCCAGUCUGCUCUCUGGAACUCUUCGGUGAGGUAAUGGCUCACAGAGACAUGACACUAGGACUCUUGAAUGAGCACACCUUUCUUUCUUCCUUACUGAGGAUCGGCUGGUCGUACUUUCAUGGGGAUGAGCAGGCUAAGGAGAGCACCUCCAUCCUCGUGAAAUGACCAGAUAGGUCCUAAUUAGCUUAAUUUUCAACUUGACACAAUCUAGAGUGACCUAAGAGGGAUUACCCAGGUCAAACUGUCCUGUAGACUUGUCUGUGGGAAGACUGUCUUGAUUGUUAAUAAUGUAGGAGGCUUAGCAUAGGAUAGGCAGCACCAUCCCUAGGCAGUGGUCUUGGGACAUCUAUGAAUGCUGGCAAAAGGGGCUGGAGAGACGGCUUAGUGGUUUUGAAGAAGACCUGGGUCUGGCUCUCAGUAUCUACACAAUGGCUGCCAACUACUUGUAACUCCAGUUCCAGGGUUUCUAGCGUUUACUUCUGGCUUCUGUGGACAUAAGGCAGGAACAAGACACACAGACAUGCAUGCAGAAUAAAAGCCAUAUAUACAGAAUAAAAAUAAAUGCAUCUCUGAACUUUUACAUGGAAUACUGGCCACAGGAUAAACUCAGGGGUAGCCUUCUCAGGCACCACCUGGUUGCUUCAUGGACAUGAGGCUCUCUCUUUCCUCAGAGCGUCUAUAGUAUUUCAGUGAUUACUCUCAAAGAAAUCUACCAAUGUGCUUGUGGGACAAAGAAGGGCAGAGACAAACUGAUCGGGCAGCGAUAGGAAACAUGGUAACUGAGUUAAAAAUCGAAAGUAGGAGAAAGGGUAUUGAGCAGGACGGACAGAGCAUGAUAGCUUUUGAUAUUCAGAGUGACAAUGUGAGAUGAAGCAUAUAAAAUGAUACAAAAGAAAAUUUAAAGUUGCUCAUCCAGUUUAGUUUUGCCAAAAGUUAUAAUGUCUGAGAAGCAAAGUGAAAUGUAGGAAAAAAUAUAUUUCAAGGUAGAAAAAGAGCUCAGGUAAUGUCAAGCAGUUUAUCUGAAAACAGAAUUUUAGAAGACAUAUUAAAGACAUUUUAAAAGAGAAGGUAGAAGCAUUAUCUAGUUUUCAGGCUGAUGAAACAGAUUUUAUAUAAACAAACAAUAUUGGCUUCUGCAUCAAAGAACCCACCACCUUCUGAGAAACAUCUAUGCUCAGCCCCCUUAUAUUUUGUAUGUGAAAGAUAAGAAAUUUACCAACAUCAAGGGCUGGCCAUUUACAUCAUCCAUGUAAGCAGAAAAAAAUGUUACUCUCAUAUAUUUGGCACUCUAAAGAAAGAUGAAAUAGAGUUACUAAGAAUAUACAACAUUAUUGAAAAAUAACUCAACUCAAUGUAAUUGUCAAAGUAGGUGCUAUGAUAAACUAAUAAAGCUUAAUAAAGCCAGUCCUGCCAUCACCAUCUCCCUAGUUAUCACUAUCAGCAACAGCAGCUACAAAAUUACCAUCACCCUUAUUGUCAUCAUUGCCACCACAACCACCCAGAACAGCAUCAUCUCACAGCCAACGAUAUUAUAACCAUUAUCAUCAUCACCAAAAUCACCAUCAUCACAACUACUGCCAUUGUCGUCACCAUCAAGACCAUUAUCACCAUCAGCUGCCACUGCAGCACCGUAAGGACCAUUCACAUGUAAAGGUCUACACCACUGCUAUUGAAACAAUGAACUUCCUGGAAGAAUAUAAGAAGCAAAAUCAUGAGGAAUUUCUCUACUGACCUCAAUGCAAAUGGACAUUCUUCUGUACUCCUGGUUAUGAGGGUGAGCAAAGAGCCUGUGUACCUAAUGUUUGAUCCAAAGUGGACACAUCAAGUCCCUAAAAUGGGAGUUCCAGUGAUAUCAUGGGUUAUACUCUGGGCUCAGCUCAGGCUGGACUCUCAGGAGGUAAAUACCAGGAUUGCUUCUUAAAAUUAGCAUCCAAGAACCCUUGUAAGGAGGUUUUCUGCUUGUCAAGAAAAAGCUAUUGUUAACCUUAUUCACCCCCUACAGCUAACUACCUCUAGGAGGAGCAUCCAAAUCCCUAUUAACUCAAACAAACUAGGUCUAGCAGACCAAGCCCUAGUUCCCAGGCAGUUCCAGCUAACUUGCCUUCUGCCUUCUGCAACAUAACCCCCUGUAACUGGCAAGACUCUUAGCAUUUUGCUUUUUUUCUGUCUCCCCAGAGGCAGCCAUGCAGCUUUGAAUCCCCCAAGGUGAACCUUUUUUUCCCAUCCACAGAGUGGUCUGGCUUGGUGGCCUCACUGUGCCUUCACUGACACCUAUGAGCUUUGAGUAGUUAUUUCUGAAGAUUUAAUACCUACCCUGCAAAUCUUUUCAGACAAAAAAUAUUGUGGGAAGUGCAGUCACACAGAAAAAGCUUCUGUGAAGGCUAUAUUAAAGGAAUAGGAAGAGAAUGAAAUAAAGCCAUUAUGCUUGAAACAAAAUAACAAGAAGUCUACUGUGAUGACUUCAUAGCUCAGCACAACUUAUUUUCAGUAGUGUUGAGCAAUUUGAUGAAGUGAUUAUAACAUUAUAGUUGGUAGAAAUUAUCUUGGUCAUAAAUUAUACCUAAAAUUUCAUUUUCCAAUACAUCUAUAGUUAUCAUAAAGAUGGAAAAAUGGUUAGAUAUGAACAUAGAAGCCUGAUUGUGACUGUAGCUGUGGUUUGCUGGAGAUAGAGAGCAUCAUAGCCAUAGGCAGCCAUGAGAGACCCUGAAGGGAAAAAUAGUAAUGUCUAGAUCCCCCAGUUCUAUUCAAAUUCUAACAACAAAGCCAGUUUAGGGGGAUGGGCAAGCCUCAUACCAUGUAACCUAACCUUGCCUAACCUGCAUACCAAGAGUCAAGAAGGCAGAUAAAGUCUACCUAUAAAGCUGUCUCAUGGCUGUAAAGAAGAUGAGGGAUACAGGAGAGAUACUGCAGGAAUAUGGCCUGAUAUCUGAGAGAGAGAGAGAAUAUCUGAGAGAGAGAGAACAGCUAGAUUGUAAAAUAACAAGAAUAAAGAAAAAUACAUGGUUUAUACAAACACAGGGGUUGCUCAGGAUUAAAUUGUGCCCUUCCCAAAUUUAUAUACCCAUGUCCUAACUCAGGAUGUGAUCUUAUUUGGGAAGACUACCCUUGUAGAUGCAAUAAUAUACACUGAUUAGGAUGAAUCCUUAUAUAAGGAGAAGGUUGGACACUGAAAUGAAGAUGGAGAUAGGAGGAUUCCUUGAUUGCUCGAAACCCCAAGAGCUGGAAGUGAGGCCCUGGCCAGAUUUCCUGUAUUAUUUUUCUGGUCCUAUGACAAAAUACCAUAAUGAAAUGCAAGUGUAAGAACAAAGGGCUUGCUUGGUUCUCUGUUCCUGACACAGGAGUCUAUAAUGCUGGGAGGCCUGAAGCUGAGAGGACGUAUCCUCAACAGCAAAACCCAAGCAAAAGAGAACUGAAAGUGGGGCGAGGCUACAAAAUAUCAACACAUUUCAAGUACCUUGUAUCUUUCAGCAAGACCAUAUUCUCCUAAAGGUUCUAUAACCUCCCCAAAUACCACCAUCAGCUGGAUAUUAGGUGUUCAGAUACCUGCCCCUAUGGCGACAUUUCUCAUUCAAAUCACCACCCUCUUAGAAUCCCAGGAACAACCAAUGCAGCUAACACCUUAAUUUCAAACUCUAGCAUCUAGAAUCACGUGAAAAUGUAUUUCUGUCAACUAAGCUUAUUGGUUUGUGAUAUCUUGCUGUAAUGGCCUCAGCAAACUAAUGGAGCUGUGUCAUAAAGAGCAAGCCUUGGGACAGAUAUUCCCUUGGGCACCACCUUUGAAAGUGCGGUGCCCUCAGUAAUUUUCUGCACAAUAUGUUAACCUGAUAAGCACUUCAGCAGUAAAGACAUAUACAGGGAGAUGCACAUGUUCCAAAUGCUGAGAACCAGGGGUAGUGGCUAGUACCACCACUACCUACCACACAGACACACUCACUCCCCUACUUUUGAAUGGCAUUACCUGGGCUCUGACAUUAGAAGCUGAGCCACCCUUGAAACAUGGGCAUUAGGGGAGAGAAGCUAGAUACCUGUCCUUUCAAAUCAAAGGCUGUCUGUCCUGUGCUUAUCAGUACUGGAGAGGGAAAGUUCAGCUUACUCAGAUGGAGUAUAGCUUCCUUCUGCAAGCUUCAGAACUGCCCAAGCUUGCCCCCUUUAUGCAAAAUUAUGUGUGUGUGUGUGUGUGUGUGUGUGCGUAGCUCUGCUAUGUACCUAUUACAGUAUCUCCCCUGGCUAGAAAAGCAUGCAUUUCCAGCCCUCUCACAAAGCUUCCACGGAUAAAUAAGGCACUAUGAAAACUAACCCUGAUCUAGCAGCUCUUCCCACUGUAGACCACAGUGUUGGAAUUUUCAUGUUGAGUAUCACAUGGACAGAUGCAAGAGAAGCUGUCAGCUUGUUCUGUAACCGAUCACCGCUUUAAUGGAGUUAACUGUGUGGAAAAGACACAAACAUGGGGAAGAAAAUGGCGAGAAUGGGGAUCUAAAGGCAAAGAUUGCUACAAUUCCUCUGGUGACUACGUGAAACUUACAACUCUGUGAGAGGGAGUGCUUUUAUUUUCCUGGGUUCCUUGAAGAGAGGUAGGAUGGCCACAGGUUAAAGAGCUGCCUCCUUCAGAAACUUGGCUGUGAUUUCUGUGCCAACAAACAGAACAGCUCUGUCUGUGUAUGCACAAGGAGGGUAGGGGGAUUUUAACACAUAGUACAUACCCUACCUGCAUCCUUCCAUACUCUUUUACCCAUGGAUUUAGACCAAGAGUAAUUGUCAUGGUAUGAGCACCAUCAUGUGACCUGCUCACACCCAGGGCAGCCAUGGAUAAGAAGUCCCUAUAAUUCUUUUGGUGGGCUCAGAUAAGACCUGCAAUGGUUUGGAUAUAGCUUAGAUGUAUCUCCCAGGGUUUUCACCUGCUGGCAAUUUGAUCCCCAAAGUGGCCACAUGAGACAUGAUGGGAUGAAUUUUUAAGAGAUGGGAUCCACUGCUGGGGUGGGGGUGGGUGGGGGAUGGGGUAGAGGUGGUGCGUAAUUAGGUCCCUGGAGGCAUGUCAACCUUGGAAGGGAUUAAUGUGAGUCUUGGACUUUCAGACUCCACAGCUAUAAGGUAAGUGAGCCUCAUUUUAUAAUAUGCUUAUCCUCAAGUGGAUUGCUUUAGCAAAAGAAAGCAGACUCAAGAACCAGAGGAUAUCUCAGCUUUGUAGUCCAGUGAAGUGGAUCUAACAUUUAAAACACAAUUCAUUUCUAGUCUUUAACAGCGUAUAUCCAAAAGGUCAAAAAUGUGUGUUGACAUAUUUACAUAUUUUAUCCUUGUGUAUUUGAAAGCCUUAUUUGAAAAUUAGUAUAUGAAGUCUAACUUUAAAACAUCUUGUACACUGUUAUUUUAACGAUUUUUAGAUAACAACUUGCUAAAACCACAUUGUUGAUUUUUUUUUAUUCUCUCCAAAUGUGACAGCCUCCAGCUAAAUUCUCAAUGUUGCAGGUUUUAAAGUCUUGCAGAGAAAUCACACUUUCAAAUAUGCCAUCAACAUAACUGGUAAUAAACCGCACACACAUGUGUGUCUGUAGACAUAGAACGGCGUGGCCUAAUCAGGUCCUUUGCUAAGUAAUUAUCGUGACACCAUUUUAGCGGCAAAGGUUAAGCAUCUUCAUCUGAGUGGAAUCUAAAGAAAUGAGUCUUGAUGUGGUAACUGCCAUUUGUCAGCAUUCGUGCAGAGGCUGUUGACAGGCUCUGGUCUCCCUGGCAACACCACAGCUCCUUUUCUUUUGCAGUAACCUUAGACACUAACGAGACAUGCAAGUCCACAGGGCAUAAAAGGUAUUUCUAAUCUCUUUCUACAUUUUUGACUUGACUGGGCAGAUGCACAUAAAGAUUAGCUGGAAGCAUUUGAAGCAAAGGGGCACUUGCUCCCCAAUUCUGACUCUGUUCAUGAACAUACUAAGCAUAUGUAUAUGUAUAUGUACAUGUACAUGUGCAUGCAUAUAAAAUGAAGAUAUGUAUGCACAUAUAAACAUAUACAUAUAUAUGCAGAUAUGUAUGUAUAUAUAUAUACAUAUAUAUGUGCACAUAUAUCUUUAUUAAUAAAACACACUAUUAAUUUUAUCGUUAUUAUCUGAGAGAGAGAUUUAAAUAAUAAAUAGUGCUAAAGUAAAUAAGUAAAUUAGAUGGAGCCCAGGCAUAAAAUAUUCCUAAGUAAAAUUGAACUAGUAAAGGGACCUGUGUGGGGUUUCAGCAUCAGCCAAAUGUACCUCAAGCAUCUGACAUUGAUGUGCUACCGAGGUUAAACAAAAACAAAUAGCAACCAACCAACCAACAACCCCCCAAAGAAAAACUUGAAACCAUCAAGAGAAUAAAACACAAACAUAACUUAAGCUCAUCUGAGCAAAAGCCUUCAAUGAGCUCCGACCCCAGGGCGCUGGACCCCAGGGCGCUGGCACAGGCCUGGGCGUGGACGAGGCAGCUGAAGGAUAUGUCGGCUUUACUUUUCUCUUCACUUACACCCUAGAAAGGCCCAGGCCAUGUUCCCUCCACCAAAGUGGGGCCCACAUCUCUUUUGGAGCAGUCUAAUUCACAAAAUACUGUAUGGCUUUUAACUCUUUGAAGAUUUUAAUUGUGUCUCUGUUUAUACUGUUAAAAUUGAAUAUAUAAAUUUCUCCACCCAAGACCCUCUUCAGAUACAUUCACAUUUCAAAUGAGGCCUUUGCAGAGUCAAGCACCCCUUUAAAAAUCAUGUGAAACCUUCACCUUCAGUGUCUCAGUCAUGGGCUCUAUUUGGAACCAAGGAGUAAAAGACUUUAAAACACUGAGGAACAAAAGUGAAUAAAAUACUGGAAGAAAGGUGGCCUUCAAGCCUGGUAAGGUAGUCAAAUCUUAGCAAGACUAUGGGGGGUGCAUUCGAAUCCAGUGACACUGGUGUCCUUAGAAAGGCUUAGUAGAAAAACAGAUGCAUGUAGAGGGAAAGACAAAUGAGAACACAGGAAGAAGAUGGCAGGAGGCUGGAGAGAUACACCCACAAGCCUAGUGGGGCUUCCAAGGUCACAGGAACUGGCAGGGGCCACAAAGAGGAGGAGAAGAGCCCCUUCCAGAACCAGUGGACUGGAAUGUUUAUUUUGAAGACAUAGCCAUGAAAGUUUUAAAUAAAUGUUUGUCAUCUUAAGUCACCCACUCUGAGGUCCAGUGAGUCUUUUAUACCCCCAGGUCCCAUGUCUAUAAAUUCAUCUUAUCAUGGAUCAUAAAUCAUUUUUAGACUCCUAGCUUAUACAGGGGUCAUUGUAGGAGGGAUUUCCUAAGGGAGGGGGGCUAGGAGGGCAUAUGUGAUAUGUACAUAAAAUGGGGGUUCCAGAAGAGGAAGGUUGAAGCAGGAGCAAGAUCUGAGGAAAAGAUGGAAAGGGGAGAGAGGGUGAAUCAAAACAAAAUAAGGGGGAACAAGCCAUAGGGAAACCUACUGUUUUCUAAGCCAAUUAAAGAUAUAGAUUAAGCUGAACAGUGAUGUGACAAGCACAUCACAGUGAGAUCGAGGCCAGCCUGGUCUGCAAAGUGAGUUCCAGGACAGCCAGGGCUACACAGUAAAACCCUGACUUAUAAAAAGUAAAAAUAUGUAAAUAUAUAAACCAACAACAAACAAACAUAGAUGCAUAUUCACACACACACAUAUAUAUACAUAUAUAAUUUCAUAUGUAUAUAUAUAUAUGUAUAUAUACAAAUGUGUGUGUGUGCAUGUGCGUGUAUGUGUAUGUGUAACAGAUAGCUAGAAAAGGCGCAUCCAGCAUGGCUGGGUAAUCUUGCUCUCAGAAGCUACAGUUUAUUAAACAAAAAUCCCAGGCACCGCCCCCCUGCCCCAUGAGCUGUCAGUCAAGAAGGACCCAGAGGCUCCGUCUGCUAAGCCCAUUUUCCCUCUUCUUGGUUGUCCACUGGAACAGAUGGCAAGCCCUCAGUGCUGAGGGACCAUACACCUUGGUUGGAAGAUGCAAAUAAAGCAAUCUGAAACUGAGCUGGAUACCUGCACCUGUUGGCCGGUUUUCAUAGUGCCAGAGGAGAAAGCUUGUGCCCACCAGUGCAGUAGUGGAGUAACCAUUAUGGUGUAACCACCUGCGCUCAGCUUGUGUUUUCAGGCUCACUUCCCACGAGGGAGAACACACCUGGUACUGUAAACACCCAUGGCUGGACAGGUCAUAUCUCCUUGAGGGACCUAACUACUCCACAGCAUCAAAAUGCCUUCUAUUUAUUUUCUACUGGAGAUAAAACUGUUCUCAGCACUAGCCAGAGAAGCGUCUUUCUGCAGUAUACUCUGCAGUAUACUCAUGGCUGCUUAGAGUGCUGAGAAUGAGUGAAUUGCACACAGCCCUAAAGAGGACAUUCAUGCUAUCUGCUCUACAGCUCGGGAACAGCAUGGAAGAAAGCCUGAGAAGGAAGGAUCAGCUCAAAGAUGGGGCAGAGGGCUGCAGAAUUCCAUCUUCGUGGCAUUGCAAGCCCAUUGCAAAUGUGAUCUCACAGCAGCUCCACUGGCCUGCACUGGGCCACAAAAGAUUGGAUUUCUAAACAGUAAAUCAUGGGUAGAGGAGGGGCUCACAGGGUUUUACUCUGGAAACUAUUAGCUAUCAGUGGAUUCUGAGGGAGGAAUGGUCAUCAGUUGUCGUCUUUGGUUAUAUAGCAAUGAUGCAAACACUUGAAAACCUUCACUUCAUCAUGAAAACUUUUCUCUCUGAUGCUAUAUGACAUGGCUAAGGCUGCGAUGUGACUUCAAGUUCCUUGACACCCGAGAUGUCGUUAAGACCAGUUCCACUUCCCAGCCCUGCUGAGACAUUAAUUCUCUUGGCCUGAGGUUCUUGAUCAUUUCAUAAACUGAAGAUAGUUCCUAGUCUGCCUGUAGCAUAGAUGCACAUGGGGGGGGGGGAGGGGCAAACAUGCAUGAGCACAUAUGCCUGUGUGCCCACUCUCUCUCUCUCACACAGAGACUCAUACAUGUAUGUAGACAAAUACACACAUAUGUAUUGAUAAACACGUUUUCUCUUUAAAAUCUGUGUGCAUAUGCAAGGACAUACACACAUAUCUGGGGUACAAGAGGGAAGACAAAGAAAGUUUUCAGUACAUCUCUUUUACAUCUGUCUUUGCAUCCUGUCUCUCCGCUGUCUUCCUGGCUUCUCUCCUAGAAGAACAUUAUGGCUGUAUGAAGUACCUCGUGUUCUGUACUUGGGCUUACUCUCAUAGUGGGGGACAACCUCCCACCUCAAUAUCUCUAAUGGAAUCACAUCUGCCAGCCCCUUCUUACCACCUAAAGGAGCAUUUACUUCCAGAACUUAAAAUGUAGUCAGCUUUGAUGGCCGAGGAACCCUCAUUGUUCAUGUGAGGCAAUGUGAGUCAUUCUACCCUAAGGUAGAAGGUUUACCAUAAAUAUAUUAAUGUAUUUAAUAAGGCCUAUAUAAUCCUAUGGGUUAGGUACCAUCAUCUGUUACCUAGGUGGGGACACUGAGGCUCAGAGUAUUUCUGGCCUGUUUAAUUCUUGUCUCCUAGAACUGGGCCUAAAGCCCCAUUCCCUUAACCAAGAUGGCAUGUCUUCCUUCUUGUUUAUUCUUUCCUGUCUGUGAAAAGAAGUAUUUGCCUUUAGCUAUCAGCAUUUUCCCAGUACAUCAAAACUCAACCACAUUCCUCUUCCAUUAAUGUGUACCUCAAAAAUAAAAUGAGAUAAUCAGAAAUGAAAUUAAUGGGCUCUGACAACAGGCACUGGCUACCCAUAAAGCUGUGAGAGGACACAGGGAAGCUGGUGUCUGCACACUAGGCCCUCCUGCAUAAAAAUCUGUUUCUGAGAAGGGGGAAGAAAAUACUCAAAGGAGGUAGAGAGUAGGAGGGACUUGGGAGGAAGAAAGGAGGGGGAGGGGAAAGGGCAGGAUUAAGUAUGGGAGUAGACAGGGAUGAUAUACAGAGGGUCAGGAAAUUUAGAGCAGAGGUAUAUAGCAAUGGGGUAUGGGGAACUGGGGUAGCCACCAGGAAGUCCCACAUGCCAGAAAAGCAAAUUUUUAACCCAGAAUUGCUCUGUAUUGCCUAAAGAAAAUACGGGGACAACGUGUGGAGCAGCGACUGGAGGAAAGCUGAGACUGCCCCACGUGGGAAUCCAUUCCAUAUACAGAUACCAAGCCCAGACACUAUUGCUGAAGCCAAGAAGUGCUUGCUGACAGGACCCUGAUAUAGCUGUCUCCUGAGAGGUUCUGCUAGAGCCUGACAAAGACAGAGGUAGAUGCUUGCAGCCAACCAUCAGACUGAAUACAGGGUCCCCAGUGGAGGAGACAGGGAAAAGACUGAAGGAGCUGAAUGGGUUUGCAACAAUAUCAACCAACCAGACCCCCAGAGUUCUCAGGGACUAAACCACUAACAAAAGAGUACACAUGGAGGGAUCCAUGGCUCCAGCCGCAUAUAUAGCAGAGGAUGACCUUCUCUGCUAUCAAUAGGAGGAAAAGCCCUUAGUUCUGUGAAGGCUCAAUGCUCCAGUGUAGAGGAAUGCUAGGGCAGUGAGGUGGGAGUGGGUGGGUGAGUGGGAGAGCCCCCUCAAAGAAGCAGAGGGAGGGAGGAUGGGAUAGGGGUUUUGUGGAGGGGAAACGGGGGAAGGGGGUCACAUUUGAAAUGUAAGCAAAAUAUCCAAUUUAAAAAAAAACAAAUUUUCUUUCCUUGGAAAACCAUUUUUCUGCAGUCUAGGCAAGCACAAAGAAAGGCAGGAGCUGGGGGAGAGCUGCUUCCCCAUGCUGUCUGCUGUCCUAGGCAUGGGCUAUCUUUAGUCUUCCUCCUCUUUCCUCUGGUGAGGAGAAAAGUGAGUGAAGAACUGGACAAUGUCACCCAAGAAAGAUGACAUCACCUGAAAUGGACUCCAUCACAUGAUGCCAACAUUAUCACCCUCAGUAGUUGGCACCCUCUAAGGAGGACAUUUUCUAAGCUAAAUGAUGUCACCUGAAGUAGAUGACACCAUAUGGGGUAGAAAAUACUACCAAUAAGGGCUAUCACUGGAAAUGGUCAAUGCCAUCUGAGGUAGGUGAUGUCACCUCAGAUGGAUCUUGUCAUCUGAGGUACACAUUUCACCUGAAAUGAUGUUGUCCGGAGGAGAGUGACACCAUCUGAAGUAGACAUUACUGUCUGACAUUGACAGUAACACCUGAGGGGUAUUAAUCACUUGAGAUGGACUUAUCACUUGACCCAACACAAGACAAAGCUACAGGAGUCCACUCAAGAGAAGCCAUCACUUUCAGGGAAUGCUGGGGACUCUUUUAGUUCCAAACAGAGCCUUCAGAUUGCCUUCCUCAAGGCUAAGCCACUAACCCGGGCGAUUCCAGUUGAAGUAACCACCCUAGGCAAUAGAUUUUUCAUCAAUCACACUACCACCCUCUCCUCUUCCACAGGAGUGCAGUAUCAGGACACACAUGUUUACACAUAAGUGCUACACAGCCAGUAGAUCACACCAUAACCGUUAUCUUGAUGAAAAUAAGUGAGAAGCCAGGUUCUGGCAUCCUCAGAACCCAGGAUAGAUGAAAUUCCAAGACAGACAAAAGACACAGUGUCACCACACCACCCUAACCCUGGGAAGCUGAAGACACAGCCAUGAACACUGAAGAGAGCCUAUCAAAUAGCUCGGGUCUUAAGAGUUAAAAAAACAAACAAACCUGUUCUAUAUUUUUAAAAAUAUUUUGAUUUAUGUUUGAAAUCAGCUGGCUGGACUGUUUAGCAAAGCCACCCCCUGGGUGUUAGCUUAGCUCCAUGGUGGAGAUCCAUGGUAGAGAUGCAAACUCUGCUGUAAUUGUUCCUCAUAAUGGAACAUUAUACAGGAAAAACAACACAAGCAAUUUUCCCUAAUCAGGCUGUCGAGUGAAAAUAAUUAAGCAAAAUAAUGCACGCUAAUUACGAAACCUGAUACUGAUGUGCCCCGUGUUUGAGGAAGUAGGGGUGUGCUUUUAUUUGGACAAUUACUGAUUAUUAUAAAUUCAUAUUGACUAUCAGCAAUAUUCUGUUAUAACACCUGACUCUACAGCAGAUAUAUAUGGACACAUGGAGAGUGCCCUCUCUCCACAUCUCUAGGACCUCCCUCAGCUCUCAAAGGCUGAAUGACUUCCCAUAAACCUGAGAGCAGUUAUGUUGUACUAAUUGCAGAGAGAAGCUAGGAGGAAAUAAGUGGUGAGGGACUGCCCUAGGACACCAGCCUUUGAAGACCCCCAGUUACCUCAUGAUAUGCUACAAAGUUUCCAAAUGAUGAAAUGGGUCAACAAUGGACAAGUGUGAAGGGCACAGGUGAGACCUUUCACAAGGCCCACAAGUAGGUCAGACUGAUCACCAUGUUCUGGUAUGUAGGUUACAGCUCCCAAGCAGAAUCAGCAUAGCUUAAAGGAACCUCGUAGGAACCAGUCUGUUCCUGUUCCUAUUAGCCCCAUUCCUACCCCAGUCACUAUGACUUCUGUGUAAUUUAGAGUCCUUUCUGGUUUUCAAAUUCUGUAAUUUUAUUUAUUUAGUAUUACACACUAAAAAACCCAGUAUGCUUUAUAUUUUUAUAUGUUAGACUUGAGUCUAUAAUGUUAGACUUAAGUCUAUAAUUUCUGUAUUGAUAUAAGAUAGACAGCCUAGGUGAAGGCUUUUGCUUCAUCUCCUUACACUAAGAUGUCUGCUAUAUCUACGUCAUUUUUGGAAGCCACUGUCUUUGCUUUGUCAAAUCUAUUUCACAUCUAUUGUCUGUCAGCAAUGGCAGGAGAACUAUUGUGGGGGGGGGCUUUCUCUGGGGUUAUUUGCUUCUGCUUCGUGUAUAUCCCUCUACCUAUUGUGGAGACUUCUAAUGUGCUGUGUCAAUACAAAAUGUUCCCGCAUCCCUGGCAAUAAUGCAUCUCUUCAUCUAGAGGUAGACUUACCACCCAGGGACCUACAGAAAGACUUGGAGAUUUGUCCCUGAAAUUUUCAGCUUACAGUAGAGACAGUCAUCUCUUGAUGUCUGCAAAAUCUGCUUUCAGAACUCUCUGAAGCUAGAAGAUCAUGGAUGUUCAGGACCCUUGUCUAAAAAUGCAUAUAACCUACAUAACACCAAUUUCGUAUACUUAGUUGUCUCUAGGCAAAUAAAACCAAAUGCAAUGAAGAUGCUGAAUAAAAAUAGCAUUGUAUCGUAUCAUUUAGAAAUGGUAAGAAAAAUGUUUGUAUAUUUUCAAUGUAGACAUAUCCCCCUGACAAAUAUUUUGACCUGGAGUUUGUGGGAUCUCCUGACACCUAGAAUUAACUGGUAACUUGUAUUUUUCUGGUAGAAUUAACUGGUAACUUGUAUUUUUUUGGUUGCUGUACACUAUUAGAUUCUUAGGCUUAGAUGUUGGAACUCUGGUCCUCUAAGCAGGGCAGCUGGCUGCCUUGAGGCUGGCAUGCAGGAGUAUGUGCAUACAUAGGAUUCUACCUCCCACUGUAUUUUCCCUCUGUGGAAUGGGUGGUUAGGAGGAGACCUGGAGCAUGUGUCAUAGCCAUGUUGGGCAUAUCAGCUGAGCUGUAAAUGAGAAGUGACAUCAAGGCCAGUUUAUGAGCCUAGAGGAGCCAGAUAAAAGCAAGACUGCAGCCUCCAUGGGUGAAAUCAAUUAGCCAUAGGAUGUCAUACCCAGUAUUAGCUUCAUAGGAGAGCAAGGCCCUGUGUGAUGGUUCAGAUUUUACAUCUGUGAGGCUGAGCUGAAUGUUUCUGUUGUUCCUGCCACAGUGGGCUGUAGAACUCACCUUUCAUUAUGGUAGAAUUAAGUUAUAGCACAUUUGAUGUUUCAAGAAAGGACUAUUGUCAGAUGGAGUUGUCUGUGCGUGUAUACAUAUGUAUGUACAUACAUGCAUAUGUGCAUUAACCAUAUAGAAAAACGGUUCAUUGUACUCAAUGCAGAUAUUUCUGAACCUAUAUUAAGAUCUAAUAGAUCCUCACCUGAGGAAUACUGAAUGGCAGAGAAGCACCUGAAAAAAUGUUCAACAUCCUUAAUCAUCAGGGAAAUACAAAUCAAAACAACCCUGAGAUUCCACCUCACACCAGUCAGAAUGGCUAAGAUCAAAAAUUCAGGUGACAGCAGAUGCUGGUGUGGAUGUGGAGAAAGAGGAACACUCCUCCAUUGUUGGUGGGAUUGCAGGCUUGUACAACCACUCUGGAAAUCAGUCUGGCGGUUCCUCAGAAAAUUGGACAUAGUACUACCGGAGGAUCCAGCAAUACCUCUCCUGGGCAUAUAUCCAGAAGAUGCCCCAACUGGUAAGAAGGACACAUGCUCCACUAUGUUCAUAGCAUCCUUAUUUAUAAUAGCCAGAAGCUGGAAAGAACCCAGAUGCCCCUCAACAGAGGAAUGGAUACAGAAAAUGUGGUACAUCUACACAAUAGAGUACUACUCAGCUAUUAAAAAGAAUGAAUUUAUGAAAUUCCUAGCCAAAUGGAUGGACCUGGAGGGCAUCAUCCUGAGUGAGGUAAUACAUUCACAAAGGAACUCACACAGUAUGUACUCACUGAUAAGUGGAUAUUAGCCCAAAACCUAGGAUACCCAAGAUAUAAGAUACAAUUUGCUAAACACAUGAAACUCAAGAAGAAUGAAGACUGAAGUGUGGACACUAUGCCCCUCCUUAGAAGUGGGAACAAAACACCCAUGGAAGGAGUUACAGAGACAAAGUUUGGAGCUGAGAUGAAAGGAUGGACCAUGUAGAGACUGCCAUAUCCAGGGAUCCACCCCAUAAUCAGCUUCCAAACACUGACACCAUUGCAUACACUAGCAAGAUUUUAUCAAAAGGACUCAGAUGUAGCUGUCUCUUGUGAGACUAUGCCGGGGCCUAGCAAACACAGAAGUGGAUGCUCACAGUCAGCUAAUGGAUGGCUCCCAAUGGAGGAGCUAGAGAAAGUACCCAAGGAGCUAAAGGGAUCUGCAACCCUAUAGGUGGAACAACAUUAUGAACUAACCAGUACCCCGGAGCUCUUGACUCUAGCUGCAUAUGUAUCAAAAGAUGGCCUAGUCGGCCAUCACUGGAAAGAGAGGCCCAUUGGACGCGCAAACUGUAUAUACCCCAGUACAGGGGAACGCCAGGGCCAAAAAAAAAAAAAAAAUGGGAAUGAGUGGGUAGGGAAGUGGGGGGAGGGUAUGGGGGACUUUUGGGAUAGCAUUGGAAAUGUAAUUGAGGAAAAUAUGUAAUAAAAAAAAAGAUCCAAUAGACACAGAAAAUGGAUUCUACUUAAGUAAAAGAGUGAAUAUUUAUUUUUCAAAUUCCUUUAAAGGGUCAAUGCCAAGAAUGUGGGAAAUAGGUUUUUAAAAUUAAAUACCAGUAGUAGAGCACAUCUGUAAAUGAGCCAUGAAGACUCUGGAAUGUAGCAACUCCCUGAGGUGAGGUCUUUGAGCAGACCCAUUAGCAAGUGAAGAACAAAGGCACCAAGAGCUUAAGCAAGUCCCCAAGUUUGAAUACCUAAAGGGAAGAGUCAGACUGAGUGGCAGCCUGGCCUGAGUCUCAAAUCCUCAACUUAAUCUGCAGGGCCAUUCAGGGUUUAGUUAAUGCCAAGCCCAGCUCAACACUGAGCUAGAGUUACCAUCCUGCUCUGUCCUCUCUGGAUGAAUACUAAAUCCUGGCCGGAAUGACAUAUCUUGGAUGAAGAAGAUGGGGAUAUAGGAUGUGAUCUACUGUCUGCAUAGACUGACCAUGAUUGAGGAACACUUGUUAUUGCGGUUGGGUCUGAAAUGUAAGAUAGUACUCCAGAUCAUUUUCAACCCUAAAUUCCUGUAAUCUUACUUAAUUAACAAACACAAUGUAAAGUAUAGCUUGUGAUCCUAUCUAAGCAAAAUAUCUCAGAAUACAAGGCAAAGAUUUGUUGAAAGCAAAGAUUGUGCCUGGUACCUCACAUGCGUCUUGGAAGCAAUGGACCACAGAGACUAAGUACUGCCCACUCUCAUAACUCUCAUGAACUGUAAAGUCACACUGACUCUAGUAAUUUGUUAUGGUCUUGAACAACUUCAAUGACAAAGGUCUCACCACCAUUACUGACUUACCAUUUCAGACAACAACAUUCUACAGGGUUCCUGGGUGGACAGUUACAGAUCAGUCUGAGGAAAAACUUUAUUUUGCUGUUGUUUGGUGUCAGCAACUUAAGGAGGAGAGCUGGCUGAGUUGAGUGACGUGCUUGUUCCUAGAAGCUAUCAAAAUACAUGGACCUUGAUUCUCCCAAUUCCUAGAGUGGCUGAGGUUAGAGAAUGGCCCUGGACAAACUACGUGAUUUGAGACUUCAUUAUAUUAUAAAAUGAAGAAGGCAGGCAACAUCUUGUCUCGUUUGUUUCAGGAACAAAAACAACAGAUGAUCAAUGUCCCACAACACGGGCUCAAUAUGUAAGGGUGGAUAUAUCACUGUACAAUGAAGGGCUGUUCCCCUCACACCUCAGUCCCCCCAGCUUCUUUCUGCGAAGGUUACCCAGGAGCUUCUUGUUCUAAGAGCUCACGGCCUGCCUCUUGCCCAGAAGAUAGUAAAUGAGUUUCAGCAUAAACUGAAUUUGCUGUCCUCCUAUGAAGCCUCCUCACAGUUUCUGUCUUUAUAUUCCCAUACACUUCCCUAUUUCCCUUUGGCCACCAGGCUUAUCUGUACAUAUCUUCUCUGUAUGUACAUAUCUUCUCCCCCUCACCACUGGUGCCUCUCUUGCUUAGGGCUGUGCUCAUGUGGGUCACUCUGCCUGAAUUAUUUUCCAGCUCUUUGAUUGAUGCCUGUUUCUCCCUUAUUCCCUAGCAAAGCAUCCCCCUGCAUCCUUGUACUUCGUGUAUUCGAAUUUUGUAGCAUUUCUUAUGGAAUGUCACCAUAUAGCUUGUUUGUUUGCCUAAUGUUUGUCUCCUCUUAACCACAGGACCAGGGCAUAGAGAUCAUGAGCAAAUGCAUAUAUUCACCAUGUAUGAUACGCGUGUGAGCACACACACAGGCACAUACAUGCUUUUUUACCUCCAAAGGAGUAAGAGCAAGGGGUACAUUCAUGCAGAAUUUGUCAAUACAAAGAGUGACUCACAGUACGCAGAUGAGGAAACGCGUGUUAGGAAAUGUCAGGUCAUAUGUGCUCAUGUUGAAAACAUAGUACCAAGAGUCCAUAUAUAAGACCUACAUAUGACCCUCUACAAGAAUACGUGCAGAAACAGCAUGCAAAGAUGGAGACAGCCUUGGAAUCUGUCUCAAGUAGUGAUGUAAGAAUUUAUUUGUUACAUUAGUUAAUCUGCAUGUGCAUGUAUGUGCUUGUGUAUGCGCUCACGCAUCUAAUUACACAUGUGUGAAUAUAUGCAUUUCUGUACUCAGACAUGUUUUUGUGUGUGUGUGUGUGUGUGUGUGUGAGUAUGUGUAUCGGCAUGUGUGUACUUGGCAUGCAUGCUCAUGUGUGUAUAUGAAUGCAUAUGUUCAAAUAUGUGAGUGCAUAUGUGUGCACAUGUGUAUAUGUAUAUGAACAAAGUACAAGGCCAGUAGGUGCAACAUGAGAUGUUUCCUUUUGUCAGAAUCAUGUGGUUGGUGAUGAAACAAUGAAUGUUAGAAGCAAUGUGGCUGGCUUCUCAUCACAUCUGUGUGGACCAUUGCCAGGGACUCUGGUGGAGUCAGCUUGACAAAGCGAAAGCUGGGAAGCUGGUUCAUGAAGCAAAGAGUUUCAAGGAAACUCCCUUCCCGGGGGCCUGGCAUUUUCUCCCUAAUCUAUAUAAACCAUAAAAUUAAUUUUUCCAUUCCCACAUUAGUCUAGUGUAUAGAUCCACGUGCACUCUAUAUAGUAUUACCUUAUAGUAAAUGCCUUUUAAGAUUGUAUUCUAACAUAGCUAAAGCCUUUUUCCAGUGUUCUUAGAUUCCAGAUAGCAGCAAGGAGCUUAACCCAUUCAGUAAACAAUUAAGCACUUGCCAUUUUACUCAGCUGUUUACAGAUAGAGACUAAAAGUCUCACUGAGAUAGAAAUCUUUUACUACAGGCUACUUCCAUGUCAAGUAUAAGUUGAUAUACUACCCUGAUAAGGGGAAACUCUCCAGACAAGAUAAGUUUUACUAGACCUAAGAAUUUAGAGCUCUGUGAUAGCGCAUUACUCUUAAGGCCUGUCAAGAGUUAACAACCCCCUGAUGCUUUUAACCUUAAAGUGUGAAAUUGUUGCCUGGCAUUAGGCUGAUCCUAGGCAGGGCUUGUUAUCCCUAAUGUAAACAUUUAAUUAGUCCCUGUAAAUUCCUUUCUGCUGUAACUGGUGAAUUUCAGUGUAUCUUGUCUUUUUGUGAUUUGUAUCUUCUGAUAAUUCGUUGUUAUAUAAGUCUGAAGCUCAACCAGAACAUUACAUUCAGAUUCAACACAUUUCUCGUGUAAUCUGUCUGUCAUUUUCAUCCAGAAUCUUUGUCCAUCUGCCUAAGAAAUCCCGUUCUUCACAGACCAGGGACCUAGAGAGUCUGUGGCAGACCAUGUCAUGGGGGUAAGAUUAGGGUUUGCAAAGGUUGAGAAUCGGCUAAUUUACGCAUGACACUUAACCACUUGUUUUACCAGCAACAAUGCUCACUCCUUUCAAAACAAGAGUUCCAAGCAAAAUCUUAAUUAACUUUAUAUCACUGUGAGCAUAAACACACAUAAUGUUCCUGGGUUGGAUUUAUGCUACAUUAGAGUGUCCAUGAAGCCAUUGAGAAGCCUUUCUUUCUCUCAGCGAUAUUCAGUGUCUGGCAAACUGUAACAUCUCCUAAUUAAGAAGACUGCUGCAUAUGGCUUCACUGAAAGUUAGAAGGUUUGGGACUCCAGCUGCAUUCUGGGAUGCCAGUUGGGUGGUCUGUGCGCCCAUCUGUGUUCCUGCUGGGGAAGCCAGAUCCCUGUGGCACUGUGUUUCAUCAUUAGGGUCCUUUGUCAUUGAGAUAAAAGUCAAGUUUAUGUGAUCAACCAUUAGAUCAAAACAGAGUUCAUCAGUAGUGUGUGUGUGUGUGUGUGUGUGUGUGUGUGUGUGAGUGUGUGAGUGUUUGUGUGUCUGUGCUGGUGUGUGAAUGAGUGUGCACGUUUGAAGAAUAUAUGCAAAUAUAUGCACAGGUGGUCAGAGGUCAUUCACAUUCAGGAGUCUUACACUUCAAUAUUUCUAGGAUUUAUUUUUAUAUUAAAAUUAUGUGUAUGCAUAUGUGUUAGUGUGCAUAAGGUUUGGAGUAUAUGACCAUGAAUGUUAAAGUCAGGGCAUCAGAAUCCUCUAGAGCUGGAGUUACAGGCAUUUGUGAGGUAGCCAACAUGGUUGAUAUAAGAGAGCCCUAGUCUUCUGCCAGAGUAGUGCACAUGCCCAAUGGUCCCCACCUCAGCUUUUGAGACAAAGAUCUCUCACUGGCUUGGAGAUCAGCAAGUAAGGGAGGUUGGCUUGCCAGUGAGCCCAGGGCCCUGCCUGUCUCCAUAGUCCCAGGCUGGGAUUCUGUCAUUUGCCACCCUGACUGGCUUUUUGCAUACAGGUUGCAUAUGACCUCAGGUCCUCAUACCUGGGCAGCAAGAGCUCUACUGACUGAGCUAUGCCACCACUAUAUUUAAAGAGUAAAACUCAUAAUACUGGAGCUGGAGAGAUGGCUAAGUGGUUAAAUGCACUGGCUUCUCUCCCAUAGAAUCUUGGUUCAGUUUAUAGCAUCCACACGGCAGUUCACAACAGUCUGUAACUUCAGUUCCAGGGACUCUGACUCUGUUAUGGCCUCUGAAGGCACUGCAAGUAUGUGAUGUAUAUAUGUACAUGAAUGCAAGCACUCAUAAUGAAAAGAAAAUAAAUCUUUUUUAAAAAACAUAAAACAUCACACUAACAAUCUACGGCAUACUGGGUCAGGGUCAUUCUACUGGUGAAACAAAUGAAACACUAGCAUCUCCACCACAAACACCAGCAGAGGUGACCUGUUUACUGUCUCAGCCGAACCCCAUUAACAAUGGAAAUACAGCUUAAAUAGGAGCAUCAGUGCAUUUCAAAUUCCAUUUGAGGCCUGAAUAUCCAACAGUCACAGAGAAGUGAUACCAAGAUUCCCUGAAGUUCUCCUGGGCCCCACCUGUUCCUGGAGGAUUGUGGGGCUCCCAGAAGCCAACAGUGCCUGUGUGGAUUCAGAUGGAUCCCAUCUGGAACCAUGAGCCAAAAUAAAUUCUCUCUCCCUUAAGUUGUCUUGGUCAUGGUUCAACAGAAAAGCAACUAACAUGGAAGUGAAGGGGAGUCUGGGAAAAUGUCCGGGGACUACAUCAGUCCAACGUGUGACAUAAAUAAACUUUCAGCACUCAGAGUGAAUUCCUGAGGAAUCAUUGCCUUUCAUUAGCCUCACUGUGAAAAAUGCAUGUAAGAAUAGGAAACGGUUUAAGCAAUUCGUUGAAGUAGAAUUUUAAAUACAUAUAACACCACAUUCAGCUCUUAUUUCACGUUGUAAAUUUUUUUGUAUUAAAAAAAUAGGGACUGAGGAGACAGGCCAGUUCAUGAGAUGCCUACUAUGCAAUUAUGGAGACCUGAAUUCUGGUCCCUAGCAGCCAUGAAAAAUCUGGGUAAGCCGUGUGUGACUAUACUUCAGCACUUGGGCAAACACAGUGGAUCUCUGGAGUUCUCUGACCAGCCAGAUUGGCUGAAUCAGUGAGCUCCCGGUUCAAUGAGAGACUCUGUCUCACAAACUAACAUGGAGAGAAACAGAUGCCUGAAGUCAAUCUCAGCUACCACACUCAUGCACAUGUUCCACACACAUAAGCAUACACAUGUGAUCUUAUGUACACACAUGUAACAUGCAAUGAAUAAAAUAAUUAUACUUAUCUCAAUGAGCUUAAAUUUAUGUAAAGCAUGAAAUACACUACGUGACUGCCAAUAGAAUGUUCCAGGUUUUAUUCCCAUAUACUGUAUGGUGUUCUGUUCCAACAGUCAAUCUGGGUCACUCUGCCCAAGGCCUCGGUCUGUGGGAACCUCCACUAGUGGGAGAGAAGUGAAACAACAUCAGGAUUGUCUUGACUUUUGUUCUCCUCUUUCCUUUGGAUGCACAAGGCAAACAGCUUCCUGUCAGAGCUGGCACUGAGUAACCCAGCUGCAAAGAAUGUCUGAGCUAGGAUCUGUGCCAAAUGUUAUACUAGAUGCAAGAGAAAUGACAGAAAUCUGCAAAAUCCUGGCUUGGGUUGAAAUUAGUAGCUUGUGUUUCAGUAGAAUUAGAUAUAAUCAGAUAAUUCCAUAUUAAACUCAGAGUGAGAUUGGAAAUAAAUUCUGAUAUUUGUGAUAGUUUCUGUGUUAGAGGGAAACAUGGCUUUUCUACUAGCUUUUGAAUACUAAGAGCUUUGUGGGUGUGCAUGUGUGUGUAUAUGUGCAUGUGUGUGUGCACGUGUGCAUAUGUGUGUGGGUUCAUGUGCACACUAUCAAACAUAUUGUUGUCAUGUAGGAUGAAGCUCAGCCUGUCAGUUGUGUAUCUAGUUUUUAAGUUCAGGGACCCACAGAUGAUAAACAGCCUCCCUCUCCUUCAGGAGGCUUGCUGUCCUGAGGAGAGAGAGGACAUCCACUGAGAAACAACCCUCACAGUCCUGUCAUGCUGUCUCAGUGUGACAAAAUCUCCCCUGGUGUGUUACUCUAGAACAGGCCACUCUGACAAGCUAGAGUGUGCAAUGCUGGCAGAUUUUGCAUGUCCAUUGAUAACGACUUCAUUUCUCCCACGUACAAAGUUCCGACAACAAUGAAAAGGAAGGGGUGAUGCAUUUUCAAAACCAUACCAGAAAGUUUAGAUUGCCUUCAGUCAUUUGCUGCUGCGCUAGCUGUUCUAGUCUCAUUCUGUGGCUGUGAAAAAAAAACACUCUUACCAAAAAUAUCCUGGAGGGGGAGGGUCUUUCACUUUACAUUUACAGGUCACAAUUCAUCACUGUGAGAAAUUAGAGCUGGAGCUCGUGUCAGGAACUGGAGCAGAGGUCACAAAGAAGUGUUUUUUUUUUUUUUAUUGGCUCGCUCCAAUGGCUUACUCAGCCUGCUUUCUUAUACAACUCAGGACCACAUGUCCAAGGGUGACACUGCUUAUGGUUACUGGUUCCUCUUCAUCGAUCAACAAUAAGACAAUUCUACACACACAUGGCCACAAGCCAAUCUGAUCUGGGCAAUCCCUCAAUUGAGAAUCUUUCUCAGGUGCCUGGCCCAACCCUUUAUGAGGAGAACUUGGCAGUCCACUGGAGCUUUGGUUGAUGCUAAGGCCAGUGACACACUGCUGAAAAUGAUAGAUAGAUACAAUCUAAAAUCACAACUCAAAAGUACAAUAGCUGGUUCUUCAAGACCAUAUCACAUUCCAAGAAGAUGCAUUUAAGGACAGAUUACCUUUGGUUGAGAACCACUUAACACCUGAAAGUACUCAUUACUUAGAGAAAAAACCAUGCUUGUCCUCCUGAGAAAUGAUCACACUUGAGAAGAUCAGACAAGCUGGUUGCUCACUAACAGGGCAGAAAAACAAGUAAAGUUGGUCUUCAGAUUACCCAAGGUUCCCCAUGCUCCCAUAAAUUAAUACAGUAAAGGGAGUAAGGAAAGGUCUUGGCUGGAACUAUUCACAUCUCUACUCCCCACAGGCUUCCAGUGCAAGAUCAAUGUCCAUAAAUGUUCAUCAAGUAUCAACCCAGUAUGGAGUAAGGACUUCAUGUAGCAAGUUGUAGACCAAAGCAGAAAGACAUUCAUGAGACAUUUAGACAGCCUAACACCAUGGCAAAGCCAAUUCAUGAUGCAUAAAGGUGAUUUCCUAUUUUCUCUGAUCUACCCCAGAGGUCCAAGUGCAUACUAUCUUUAUGACAGAAGAGCUGAGAUGUGAACAGUAUGCCAGCAAUGGAGCUGCUGCACUGUGAACCACAGGGCAUGUGCAUGACCUUAAAGGGAGCAGUGCAAUGGAGCUGGCAAUGUGCAUAUACCUGUGAUCCCAUCAUCCAGGAUCCUGAGUAGACGGACUGCUGAAAGCCAAGGCCAGCUUGGGCUGCAUAGUGAGUUUAAGGCUAGCUUAUGCUAUGUUAUAAAACUGACAAAUGCUUAAUUAAAGAAAUAGUGAAGCACCAGGAAAGGGGAUAACAUUUGAAAUGUAAAUAAAGAAAAUACCAACAAAAAAGAAAAAGAAAAAGAAAAAGAAAAAAAGGAAAGGAAAUAGUGAGCAAGGCUGAAGAGAAAGAUGGGAAGCAGGCCAAAGCACAAGGAAGAGGAACUAAAGGAAAUGACUGUGCUGAGUCACAUCAUAGUGACAGAAGACAGACUUUGAGACAGAAAGGAUUGGAGUAGAAAGUUAACAACAAUGGUAAAAUCAGAAAGAUGAGUGAUAAAUUGAUAGAUAACAGGAAGAUGAUACAGAUGUCAGGGGCAAAGAUACAAUAGAUAAUAGCUAGAUGGUAGAUGAUGAAGAUGAUGAUAGAUAAUAGAUGACAUAGAUGAUAGAUAGAUAGAGGAUUAUAGAUGAUAAAUAAUAGAUGAUAGAUAUAUGACAGAUGAUGGUAGAUGGAUGGUAUAUAGAAGAUAGGUAGAUAGAUGAUAGAUGGUAGAUAGGAGAUAGAUAGAUAGAUAGAUAGAUAGAUAGAUAGAUAGAUGAUAGAUAGAUGAUAAAUAGAUGAUAGGUAGAUAGAUGAUAGAUAAAUAGAUGAUAGAUGGAUGGAUUGAUAAAUAAGUGAAAAAUAAAUAGAUAGUAUCUUAGUUAGGGUUUUACUGCUAUGAACAUACACCAUACUAUUGGUUAAGCAACUAUUAUAAGGACAACAUUUAAUUGGGGCUAGCUUAUAGGUUUAGAGGUUCAGUCCAUUACCACCAAGGCAGGAGCAUGGCAGUAUCCAAGCAGGCAUGGUGCAGGAGAAGCUGAGAGUUCUACAUCUUCAUUAGGAGAAGACUGGCUUCCAGGGAGCUAGGAUGAGGAUCUUAAAGCCCACACCCACAAUGAGACACUUCCUCCAACAAGGCCAUGCCUACUAAUAGUGUCACUCCCUGGACCAAGCAUAUACAACCAUCACAGAUAGAUAGAUAGAUAGAUAGAUAGAUAGAUAGAUAGAUAGAUAGAUAGAUAGAUAGAUGGAUAAUAGAUAAAAGAUUGGUACAUGGAUAAAAAGAUAGAUGAUGGGUGGAUAAGAAACAGAUAGAGAAAAAGACAAAAAGAAAUCCCACAUCUUCCUAACUCGAAAGCCUGGAAAACAGAAGCCUGCAAAGGAACUAUAAAGUAGUACAAUGGUAUUUUACUAGCAAUAUACACACACUGAUGCUCAAGUACAAAAGGAUAUGAACAUGCAGAUUAAAUGGUUCCAAUAGCCAAAAUUUACAUGGAAGCAAAAGCUGUUCAUUAUUAUGGGGAUGGAUGCGUGUCACAUGGAGGUCAGAGGACAGUGUGUAGGGUUGAUUCUGCCUACACACCUUCUUGUGGACCCCAGGGUUUAAAAUGAGGUCAACAGGUUUACUUGGCGAUGACAUUGCCUGUUGAGACAGCUGGCCUGCCCAUAAGCAAAAAUUGUUAUCUAUAUAAUUAGAUUUAUUUUUCUUGGACUUUGGAAGAUUUAAAAAUAUUUUAUGUUCAAAAGAACUAAGGAAAAUGCAGAAAACAAAGCCAAUCAAAAUUACACAGGUCUCAAAAUUACGCAGGUCUCAAAAUUACAUAGAUCUCAUAUUUUCAACAAUAACCUUCAACUUGUGACAAUAGUACAAGAUGUAUAAAAUAUCCCCAGAAAUGUUUUAGCCUGACUAACUCUCACUCAGUUAUGACUACAGACUAUACGUUCAAAUGGGAAACAUCAAUGUUCACUGCAAGUCUAGCUGAAAAUUUUGGGGAAAAUUAAUGGGAAAAUUAGAAACAUACAUAAUAUUUUAUGUGUAUGAGUGUUUUGCCUGCAUGUAUGUAGAUGUAUCAUAUUCAUAUCUGAUGUCCAUGGAGUCCAGAAGAUGGAGAUAGAUCAGGAUCUAUAGAGAGUUGUGAGAUGUCGCAUGGUUGCUAGGAAUCAAACCAGGGCACUCUGCAAGAGCAGCCAGUGUGCUUAACUGCUGAGCCAUUUUUCCAGCCCUGACAACUAGUAUGAAACUCUAUCCCAAUUUCUCAGGAUAAAGCCUGGAGAUAUCUGCAAAUUAUUUCAAAAUGUAUCAAGACAUGAGAUAAAUGAGUAGAGGAUCGAUAAAUGAAUAUUUGAUAGAUAAAGCAAAUAGCAAACACUGACUACAGAAUGUAAGCAGCAGUUAAUGGCUAUAUAUUUGCUUAUUUUCAUUUUUAUGUCUUUUCAAUAUUCAUAAUAAAAAUGAAUUAUAGAAUUCAAUAAAAUAACUGGAUAUCUCCUGGUAGGUUAUCCAAUCCCAAGUGGUUAGCUCUAAGCACAUGUACAUAUGAGUAACUCUAAAUGGACUCAGUAGGUAUUAACUUUUGCACAAAUAUAUAUGGAUGAUGUGUAUAUACACAUCUAUAUAGCAUAUAACAUACAACAUAUAAUAUAUUACAUAAUAUGCAAUAUAUCACAUAUAAUAUACACAUAUAUACACACAUACAUAUAUAUAUAUGAUCUAGGAUGUAUGAUUAUUAAGUAUGAUAUAUGAUAUACAUGUGUGUGUGCAUCUGUGUGUACUAAGAGCUGACCACGGGAUUGGAUAUAAACAUAAAUAUGUAAUCAUAAUAAUUAAAGAAAAACAAAUCUGAAGUUUGAAAAGAAAUGGUGAGGGACAUGGGAGGAGUUGGAGAAGUAGGAGAAGGAGGGGUUGGAAUGAUGUAAAUAUCAUGGAUGAAAUUCUCAAAAAUUUUAAAAUUUAAAUGAAAAAAAUCAAUAGAGUAGGAAAAUAAGAGAUGGGCCAUAGAGGGAUGUUUGUAACAAGGUAUCAUAUGUCUUUAGAUCCUUUACUGAACUAAAAUCAUCAAACUGCAGAUAUAAGUGGGAUGGGAAAAAGUAAAACUACCAUCAAGUAAAGCCGGACAGGGCCCACAUCCACCAUCACUGUACAUGGCUGAUAUCGUAGAGAUGAAGGGCAAGUGCAGCCUAUCACUUUGUAGUUAGAGCUAGCUGUUAUGGCCAUUAAAUCACCCUGCAUGGUCCGUAUUCUUAAGAGGGCACACACAUGGCAGUUCGGAACAAAAGAGAAACAGCAAGCAGGAAGUCUGAGGCAGAAUUGGGUGUGGCGCACUACAAGUCCAAAAAAAUCUACUCCUGACUUGGACACCAUAUUUGACAUUGUUUUGUUGUGUCAAACUGCUUAAGCAUUCCAUCAUUCUGCAGUAUAUGUGUUAGGUAGCUAUAGCCAUGGCCUGCAUAGUGGACAAGCUCAAAAUAGGGUCAAGAGCAUCCAUGAGACUGAGGACAACAUGGUGGAGUCUGCCAGCCAGCCAGAGGAGGUGUGGCCAUCCCUCCUGCCUCUCAGGAAAACCAAGGUAAAUAAAUAAAGCAAAAUGUAAGAGAGAAAGGAAGACCAGAGGUCUGAUGGCAGGAAUGAACAGGCUGAGCACACAGCAUCACAGACAACAGAGGCUUAGCCAGAACAGUGAACAGACCUGCUUGUAACUUAACUAAUUCCGUAACCUGAAGACAGAUCUCUCCCUUUCCUUUCAGUACCUAAGAAAAAAAUUGUCAAUCCUGAAGACUUUAUGUGAGAAAGAACUCAUUAAACUUUUGCAAGCAGAAGCAGUAGAAAGCAGAACACACUCUGGACUUGCUGUGAUGAAACUAACUUCAUGGGAUUUUCCCCACCUGGGGUCUCAAAGGAAGCCAAGGUAGAGAUUUGAGAACAUCUGGAAAAUUGUUCACAAGCACGACUCACAUCGGAACCCAUGUGAUGCGGCAAACACAGUGCUCAGAAGAAAUCCCACCGCCUUGUAUGUUGUGAAUAAAAAGAAAUGGUGAACGCAACAGACUGAAAGAUGGAAAACGAUCCACACCGCAAAGCAAGAGGGGUAAUGAGCAGAAAAUACACUGGAGACUCAAUGCCCUUAUAGGCACUUAGAGUCAUCAAAGACCCUGGAAGCCAAAGGACAGCAGUCAAAACACAAGUCCCAGAGGUCGUGUGAAAUGGGCUGAAUGGAUGUGAGAACCUAUAAACAAAUCUCAAGUUUUAAGACAAUUAACAAAAUAUAUGCAUUCCUAGUUAACCAUAGAAAGAAGAUCAACGCACAAGACAAGAGAGGAGGAGGGGAAGGAGUAGAUAGCGAGGGGAUGGGAUGUUUCAUCGUUCAGCUUGAUAAGAAUUAGAAGCGUGCAUACUUAAAAAGAGGAGGGUAAUUAUCGUUAUUUGCAUACAACAAAAUUGCAUAUGAAAAAUGUAUGAGCACCAACUGGAAAGAAAGCUGUCACAGAUAGAUAAUCCUGUGAAGUGACUGAAACGGUCCAAGGUAGAACUGGGCCGUCCACCUGUAUAGACAAACUCCACUCUGGAAUCUGGAGUUUGGAUUUCAUCUGAGUAGGAAACAAAGGAACACACAUGAGGUACUUGUAAGAGCCACAGGAGCACCAGACACACACCUUUGUUAACAAGAUGCUGGCUAGAAUCCCAAUAUUCUAGAGCCCUAUAAGUCCCAAACAGGUUCAUGUACCUUUUGUGUUCAGCCCAGCUGCAGUCACUGUCUGAGGAAGCCUAUGGAGCCUUUAGCAGGGGAGGCCUAACUGAAAGAAUGGAUCACUGGGAGUCAGACUUGGAGGACUACCAUCUAUAAGUCUGUUCACUGCUCUACCGAGGUGUAAGCAAGCAGGCUCCUGCUCCUGUUGCCCUAUCUGAAAAAUUAAGUUCCAGGCUCAUGUCUUUGGGCUUGCUGCUCUUCCAAAACAACCCCUGCUUCUGAUUUCUUUGCUGUUAUUCCCCACCCGCACCCCCCACCCCACCCCCACCCCCGCAGAUUGAGCUACCUUCCAGGGACACCCAUGACAUCACCCAGAGGUGAUCAAUUUCUAUGAUCUCAUCAUGGGGACAUGAGUAUGUAGAUGACUCCAACUUCCUCCCUCCAAACCCACCUGUUGCCUGAAGCAUCACUAUCGAGAUCUCUGUAAGAUGACUCUGACGUUACUGGGAAUCCCUGUCCACAGGGAGAGCAGGGUCUGGAUAAGAUAAGUGGAUUCUUGCAAGUGCUCUGUCUGAGUCUAGUCUUGGUCCAUGAGUCCCUCACCUACCCACCUACCAUACUGCCUCUUGAUUUGACCUGCAAGUGCUAUCCGAGUAGAUCCCCAAGUACUGCAUCUCUUCUCUGCUUUGCUCAGACUCUCUCCCGCUUGCUCUCCAUCCUCACAGGUAGCUCAACUCCAAGUACAACUAGACUCUCUCUUCUCUCCAUUCUUAUGUCUUCAUUAUCACACCCCAUAACCAAUAACCAGAACCAACUUCUAAACAUGUAAGAUUAUGUUUUAUUAUCUCCUGGUUAAAACAGUUAUGGCUCCCCUCGGUGGCACCUAAAAUAAAACUCAAAGUCCUUGCAAAGCAGGAGCAAGACUCUCAGAACCUUUAGACAUCAGUCUACACAUCCCAUAAUAGGCUUCUGGGGUGCUGCUGUUCCUCACUGCUUUGAAGAAUUAGAUUAUUUUCCUGGACAAAAGCAACCUGCAACAGGGAGAAUUACUCUGGCUCUCAGUUCAAGGGUGUAGACAGGCUCACAUGCAGACAGGCUCACAUACAGGCAUGCUCACAUGCAGACAGGCUCACAUGCAGACAGGCUCACAUACAGGCAUGCUCACAUGCAGACAGGCUCACAUACAGACAAGGUUACAUGCAACAGGAUCACAUAAAGGCAGGGUCAUAUGCAGACAGGUCACAGGGCCAGCAAUACAAAGGCAACACCAGACUCCCAUAGGCCUAUGUGUAACUCCAGCCAACUCCUUAGCUGAGCAGAAGUAAGUCCAGCUUUUGUGCUCUCAGAAGUGACGCAGGUAAGGUGCAUCCUGGAUCCAAAUGACUCCCUGCAGCUGGAGGCAAAUUGACUCAAGUCCAGACCUGUGUCUCCUUGUGCCCCUUUCACUUUCCUUGAAACAUUUGGACUUAACGAGGUUCCAACACCAUCAGAUCCCAUAUGACUGAUGGUCACAGCCUCCUCAGCCCCAGGUGGGAGGAAUGGAAGGGUCCCUGCCAUCUAGAUAUACUUGGAGUGCUCUGAACAAUGGGACCUAUCCUCUGCUUCACCAUUCAGUCAUGGGAAAUCACUAUCUCUAAGCAGCCUGUCUCUGAGUUUGGAAUGUCUUUUUAUGCUAAUUCUUUCUUUCCAUAGACAUAUAAUCUUUCCCUGUCUUCUCUUCCUGCCUUCCCUGACGAUGAAAGAAGUAUAAUCCUUACAAAGGUGGCUUUCUGACCCUGCAGGUAGUCAGCACACCACCCUGCAUAUCCUCACUUUACUCAGGGACUUUCAGAGAUACAACGAGGUUGUCCUCGGUCCUCCAAGGUUGUUAUGCUGCUCUACGACCCAACAUACGGCUGUUACCUGAUGGUCACUUGAUACACUUGCAAUGGCUUGGCUGUGCUGUCCAAGAUCACUGACAUUCCCCAUGUAGCUGCAUUGUAAAGUCCUAAGGCUUAGCUGGCUCUGGCCAUUCCUUUCCCUGUCUUUUGUUCUUGUAGUGUUGGAGCCAGAUGCCCCUCCCCCAUGCUCCUGUGUAUGGCAGGCAAGCUCCCUACCCUGAAUCACAACUCAAGCGAUCUCCGUUGUUGUUUUAAGAAUAUAUUUUCAAUAACUUUAAAAUAACUGACUCUUGAAAAACAAGAAGUUAAACCAACGAGGAAAUAUCUAGUCAGCAACUAAAGCUGCUUACUUUGGCCACCAGAGGGCUCCCACAUUUAUCCUUAACUGCUAAUCUGUAUUGAGACAGCCAAGAAAUGACACUAUGAGUUUAGCAAGCUCAAUUAGAAUGUGAGAUGCUUCCCACCCUAGGACACAUAGUUUUUAUAAAACCAUUUGAUUUGUCUCUCUCUUCGUCCAAUGCAAAGCUUCUUUACAACGGCCAGCACAUUCACAUGCCGAAGCACUUAAUCCCUGAAGUAACGACUGCAGUUUAAUUAUCUUCAUUCAUGCUCAGAUUGAAACCUUUACUACUCACUCCUGGCUGCUUCUUUGUACGUAGGCCAUCAAACAACGACGUGAAAGAGCAGGUGCUUUAUUCUCAGAAUUAUGUGCUUUGCCGAGAGUGGGCACUUGGAAGCCCGAAUGAAAGCAUGGAAUUAAUUUUCUUAUCAAAUUGGAAAUGAGUUUUUAAAGAGAUAAUGAUUAAUGUAGGGGGAUGAAGCAAAGAGUCAAUACUCUUGUACAUACUGGAAAUGAAAUCUGAUGGUCUUAUGUGUUUGGAAGAGCGGUUUGUUAACUUUGCAGUAGUGUAAAAUUAGUUUUUAACAAGCAGUGGCCUGUUGAGGAGCUGAAUAAAGAGAAAGGCUAGACUUAUCAUGAUUGUUCAAAACAGUGAGAAGGGGGGAGGGGACUCACAGCUAGGCAAUUACAAACUAGUUCUCCAAGGAAUUCCAAAGCCUUGAAAUAAAAGGGCUAUACCACUGAGAGAAUCAAUGAUUCUGAGUUACCACGAAAUAUCCAUAAACACAAACCCCUUUCUCUGAUACCAGGAACUGGAAGGGUGACUAUGGAGACCUAUUUUGGUUUGGCCCAGAGAACCGGAGCAAUUCAGGAAUUGGAGGUACCCGACAUGUAUAAAUUUCACAGUGAGGUAGGAACUGAAACCCAGAUCCUCACUUCCUAUGUCUCAUGGCUAUUCCUCCCUCAGCAUCUUAGGAAUCAGGCCAUUUAUUUGGAAGCUGAGAGAUGCCACAGGAAUAAGAUGCUUGCCACACAAAGCUUAAGAAUUGGAGUUCAGAUCCUCUGGUCCUAAGAAAAAGCUACAUGUAUAUGGCAGCUUGACUAUAAUCCUAGCUCACAGAUGGUAGAGAGAGGCAAUCCCACACCAGGAUGCUUGCCAGGCUAGCCAGAAUGUGAGCUUAUAUUCAUUCUUAAUACAGAAGUGGGAGAACAGUUGAGGGGAACACCCAACACAGGGUCCUGUACACCUGCCCACACAUGUGUAAGCAAGCACAUGUGUGCACAUACAAGAAAUGGAAAAGAAAGGCUUAAUUUGGCUGACAGAAGGCUCAAGCCGAUAAAGUGUUUGCCACAUAAAAUUAGGUCCUGCAUGAGCAUCAGUCCCCAGAACCAACACAGAGGUGGCAGAAGACUGUGCUCUAGGAAUAUGGGGACAGCAGUAUAUAUCUGUGACCCUAGUACUGAAGAGGUAGAGACAAGAAGGUUAGCUGUUCAAGGCUAUACUCCAUCACAUCAUGAGUUCAAGGUCAGCCUGGGUAACAUGAUGUCCUGUCCCAAACAAACAAUAAAACAAGAUAUAAAAACAUUGGGUUUUUUUUUUUUUAAUUUCAGAGAGGAGUUUUUCCCCCAAAAUUUAUAUUUAAAAAUAAAAAUUCUUCAAGACAUGUCUUAAGCAGCCUUUCUCAGAACAACAGUGUGAAAACUGAACACUGCUGACAAGUGCCAGCAAAGGGAAAGAGGCAGGCAGCUGUAGGAAAGCAGGACUCUCACCCAGGGUAAUGGUGGGGGAAGUUUCAAGGGUGGCAGAGGCUGGGCUGCAGGUGUGACCUGAGAAGUGCCAUGCAUCCCUCCCACACUUGCUCUGGACUGCUCUUCCAGGGAAACAAAUUAGAAUUGGUAAAUCCGUCAGCAAAUGACCUCAUAGAACAUUUUUCUGUGCUCUGGAACGUGAGUGCCUUAGAUGUCCAAGAGAAGAGGAAAUACAGUCACGGAGAUCAUGUGACUGGAAUCAGGAGUAUUUACAUGGUUAGAAUGGACUGAAGUUUUAGCACAUGGGAGGAAGUGGAUGCAGGCUAAGGGAACUUGAUAUGUGAGACUUUAAACAUGACCAUGUUUUAGAAAAAUCAAAGUAGGUGCCUGAGAGAUGAUAAAAUGGAUGUAGUAACUUAUAGCCACAUGUCCUAAUAAUUAUUAAAAGGUGGGGCAAGUGAGGUGAGAGCCACCAUUCACUCUGCCUCCUCAGCCUUCCCCCUGUGUGUCCAGCUCCUCAAGCUGCAGACACCGUGAACAAUGAAUGGAAUUCCAUCACAGGAUGAGCCAGAAUAAACCUUUCUUUCAUUAAAAAUGACUCUCAGCUAGCUCUCCACAAAAAUGAAGCAUAAGGACUCCAUGAGAAGAUGCUCUAAUGGACUCCAUGGGGAAAGGUAUUUUAGAAAAAUAUAAUUAUCCACACAUAGGAAAAUAACUGAGCAAGUCUCUUCCAACAUGUUUAAAAUUCCCAUUCCCUAGGUUUAGAAGUGCACCUUUUAAAUACUCAUUUCUAUUUUCUGAAUUUUAUUUUAUGUUUAUUGGUGGCUUGCCUGAAUAAUGUCUGGAUAUCAUGUGUAUCCUUUGUGCCAGCAGAGGCCAGCAGGGAGUGCCAGAGCCCCAGGAUUAGAGUUAUAUACAGUUGUGAGCUAUCACAUGGAUGCUGGCAAUCAAACUUGGGUCCUUUGAAAGAGCAGACAGCAUUCUAAACCACUGAGGCAUCUCUCUAGCCCUGAAUAUUUCACAGUAGAUUCUCUUUCCAGCUUAUUCUAUUUCACCUGAACCCCACAACAAUGUGAUUGCUAUACAUGUUCUAAUUAAUAUAAAAUAACUAAAUGUUUUUUUAAAAUUUAUUUUAGGUUUAGAUGGAGAAAAAACAAAGCUUUUUCACUCAGUAAAGAAAGCUUUCCAACCAGGAGAAGAUCAGUAGCUGUAACAAGCAUCAAGACUUAUUGUCAAGUUCAACUUUCUCUCCUAGGAAGAAAAUACCAGGACAGAACCCAAGAUCCUAGAGUCCUCACAGCACUGGAGACAAAGCAGCCACACAGCAUCACACUGAAAUCACCUGUGCUGUUUGCUCACUGCUUGAUUUAGCAACAUUGUUAUAUCCACUGCAACGCUGUUAUAUCCACUGCAACAUUGUUAUGUGCACUGCAAUACUGUUAUAUCCACAGGCAAACUGAGAAUUUCCAUCCACUCUGCCACCAACAGGUUCAAUCCCACUGCAUUUUGAGUCUAACCCUAAGGUCAGUUAUUCCUUAAGCUUGAAGGGAUGCUUGUAAACUUGUUAUUGGGCUGAGAAAGUGGCUUGGUGGGUGAAGUGCUCGCACACAAGAGCCAAAAUUUGGAUGCUAAGCCCCCACACCUAAGCCAGGCAUAACUGCCUCCUCCUAUAAUCCUAGUGCUAAGGGAUUAGAGAUAAUCCAACCAAUCAGUGAGCCUCAGUUUCCAUGAGAUACCAUGACUUAAAAAGUAUGGUGGAGGGCAAUAGAGAAAGAAACUCGAAGUUUACCUCUAGUCCAGGCAUAUAUACACAUGCAAUACAUUUCACACACACGCAUUAUUAAUUAAAGUUAACAGACACUUGGAGUCUUAACUCCAUCAUUAUGGAAUGGACCACAUCUGUGAAAAUCAAUCACCAUAAACUCUCUUAUUUCAUCUAAUGAUGGUGAAUAUUUAUUGAUACAUCUGCUUUGCAAUGUAUCAAGAAAGUAAGGUAGAAAUGAUAUGGGCCCAUGAAUUAAUUGUAUCCUUAGAGGGAAGAUCCAGAUGAUGGACAAACUAUGAGUGGUCAAUGCUCCCGUCCAUGUGGAGUCUCUGUGUGAAGGUUUUACCUCAUGUGUAAAAUGGCAGCCUUUUCCCAUGGCAGAAGAAGGCUCUCAUAUCCAAAAUGAGAAGCCACUUUCCCUCAGCAGGCAGGGACAGAUAACUCAAUGAAGUCCAGGUCUUUAAGGCCACAUCAUUUCCCAUUGUGAUGAAGGAGUUCUUUUCCCCAGGAAAAGUGAAGAUAACCCAUGAUGCAUAUACUAGAUUGUUUUCUAAUCCUCUGCCACAUGCUUCAUGGGAAUUUAAUAGUUUAAUAUUUCACAGCCUCCUAUCUAUGGGGAUUAGGGAGAGAAUGAGACCACAAGAAGCACAAUGCUGCCAAAUGACAAAGUUUUAAACAUACCAUGAACUGUGAGGUGUCCCCAGGGAGAUGAGAGAAUAGACCUACUAAAAAGGGCAAUUGGAUAUUAUAUGAUGGCUUUAGUUGGGUGGGAGAGUGGCAAGAUAGCAUUAUGGGCAAAGGAACUACUUAGUGGCCAGGGGGAUCUUUACCAGAUCCACAGAACUCCAUGUGAGACAAAGCUGCCAUCUUGGAUAAAGGAGGGGCUUCUGUACUUUCCCCAGUGUGGCUCUGCAGAGAGAAGGGCAGAUCUCAAACUGAGGGGUACUGAUCAUCUGUCUCUUUGUGACCAUUUUUGGUUCCAUUAUGUCAUUUGCACGUGUUGAGGGAAUGAGCUUGUGUUUGUGCACAUUCGGGGAAUGUGAACACUGUGUCCAUCCAUGCCCAAAUUUAGAAGGCAGGAUUACAUCACAUUUCAAAACAUAUGUUCCAGAGAAAAUGAGCAAGAAAGGUUUUUUUUUUCCCACAUUCAAUGAUAUUUUAAAUUCACUAAGGACUAUUUAAAGCAGUUCUAAAGAAAAAAUUUCUUUAAACAAACAAAAGAAACUUUAGGGGAAUUAAUCAUGUUUGAUUUUAUAAUCGCACAGAUUCUUUUUUUUUUUAUUUUUUUUAUUUUUGAGAUGCUGUGAUGAAACCAGGACCACAUGAAUGUGAACUAAGCACUCUGCCUGGCUACAUUGCCAAUGGGAGAUUAAAUCUGCCUAGGUUUGUUUUCUUUACCCAGAGACUCACAUACUUGAUUAUAUUAGACACACUGUUUCUUAAAAAAAAAAAAAGUGGAAUGUUUUGAAACAGUUUCACUUUUGAUUUUUGUAGCUAUAUCACACUGUGGACUCAGAGGUUUGAAAAUACUCAGCACAUAGUUUAAAAUCAGAUAUGUGGACCAUUGAUUUGUAUUUGUAUGUGUGUGUGUGUGUGUGUGUGUGUGUGUGUGUGUGUGUGUGUGUGUGUAUGUAUGUUUGUAUGUAUGUGUGUGUGUGUGUAUGAGAAAGAAUGGUGUGUGUGUGUAUGAGAAAGAAUGGUGUGUGUGUGUGUGUGUAUGAGAAAGAAUGGUGUGUGUGUGUGUGUGUGUGUGUGUGUGUGUGUGUGUGUGUGUAAGUGUUCACAUUUCUAUCCAGUUAUCUGAAACCUUUCAUUCUCUUCAAAGAUAACUGACUCACCCAACGUGGAUCAUGGUACAGAACCUGGAUGGCAGCUGAUGCAUGUGACCAUGGGAGAGAUAUAAGAAGACUGUGAACAGUUUCUCACACUGAUUGGAAUGGGCAUAGAAAGGCAUUUGAUGUGUUUGCUGCUGAGGUCCCAUGGGUCAGUCUUCUGAGCUAGUGUUGAGGCUGUUUCGACAGCUAAUAAAACAGCCAUGCAGAGCACUGGGUUAUUUAGGAAUACCCAUGGUUCUAGGAAGAGAAAGACAUAGCUCACCAAACCAGCAGAGACUAAAAAUCAGCCAUAGCAGCUUGGCUUACCUACCAGAAAGAACAUCUCAGAUAUGGACUUGGCAGCCAGACUGAAAUACAAAAGCAGGUGAUCUACAUUGCAUGGGAGAGUGUGCCAUUCUCCUUGGACCAGAUGCUAGAAACCCUAAAGAAACUUACAGAGGAUAGGCAGUCAUCUGGAGCAGGAGGAGGCAUGGAAAUCUACUUCUUACUGGAAGGGCCAGCCAAGUGGCAAUCAGGCUUCCUGUCAUUCUGGGGUGGGGGUGGGGGUGGCACUAUGACUCCUUACCCAAAGCAUCCAUGUCAGAUUCACUGACUGCAAGUGUUGGCCACAAGGUCAGGAAAAGCAUCUGUGACCUUAAAGAUCUGUGUGACUGAGAAUGUGUGUGUGUCCUGCUGUUUUUAAAUUAUGUUACACAUCAAGUCAUGCCCUCCAAUCUUAACAUACUGAAACCCCAAUGCCCUACAAGGCAGCUACAUUUGGAGUGGGUCCUUUCAAAUGGUGAGCAAGGUUGAAUAAGGCCAUAGAGAGAGUUCUAAUCCAGUGGGCUUGGUGUCCUCAUCAAAGGGGACAGAGACUCAGACACUCAAGACACAAUCAUGCAAGGAGGCAGGGAAGACAUAGCCAGUGCUGUGCACUGGGUGUGGCUUAUACUGAGGUCCCUGUCAGUCUGAUGGAUGAUUCUGAGAUCUUGUAUCCUUAAGAGGGAUCUAUAGUGGGAAUUACUUGGUCUUUGGGCUGUGUUCUUGGUUGGAGUCCAGGUAGCUUUGGAGAAGGGUUGUACUAAAGGCUGAGCCCAACCCUGCUCAAUAUCCUCUCUUCCUACUUCUCUGUCUUUCUGUCUUUCUGUCUUUCUGUCUUUCUUUCUGUCUUUCUUUCUGUCUGUCUGUCUGUCUGUCUUUCUGUCUGUCUGUCUGUCUGUCUGUCUGUCUGUCUGUCUGUCUGUCUUUCUUUCUUUCUUUCUUUCUUUCUUUCUUUCUUUCUUUCUUUCUUUCUUUCUUCCUUCCUUCCUUCCUUCCUUCCUUCCUUCCUUCCUUUCUUUCUUUCUUUUUUUUGAGACAGGGUCUCUCUGUGUAGCUCUGGCUGUCCUGGAACUCACUCUGUAGACCAGGCUGGCCUCAAACUCAGAAAUCCACCUGCUUCUGCCUCCCAAGUGCUGGGAUUAAAGGCGUGUGCAACCACACCCAGCUCUUCCUACUUCUUAAGGCCCCUACCACAGGAAGCAUCAACACCUGACAUAUUCCACAGGACCCAAGUGGAAACUGAAUAAAGUAGGAGCCAGCCUGAAGUGCCACCACUGUAAGAGAAAUAGGUUGAACUCUGCUUCAUUAGUAGCCUGCCCUUGGGUUUUCAUUAUAGUUCGGCAAAGUUGACUAAAGCAGCUAUCUGCAAGUCAAAAUGGAGAACCUGUGAAGGAAUGAACCCCAACCCAACUCCAACCCCCAAAUCCCUGUGGGAAUAAGUUCUUGUUCAGCCACACAUUGCUGUUGUUAUGGCAACCCCAAAUGAAUGCAGAUGACCCUCAGAAUGGACUCACAAGGUGUGCAGUGCAGCUAAGUGGCAAAAUACUUGCCUUGCAUGCACACGACCCUGGGGUUCCAUCCCAGCUCAAAAAACAAAAACAACAAAAUAAUAAACAAACAAAAAACCCAGGCAAUGACUACAACAACAACAAAAACAAGUCAAAACAAAACUCUAAAGAUGCAUGUAUGCAUGCCUAGAAAAUGGUCCGGGAAUCGUUUGGCACAUUCCUUCCAUAAGGGACACUCCAUUUGAGAUAUAAUAAUAAGAGAUUUCUUUUUUCUUUACAGAUCACAUUCACUUUUGUUAUUCAGAAUCUUCAUAGGAGUGUAACAAACACAGAGAGCCAAGCAAGCUCAGAAUGGAGAGUCUGCCACAAGAGUUCCACCCUCCUCCUGCCUGGAGUCCCCACAGCCCCUGGGGCUCCCACAGAGCAGGGUUUGAAAAAUGCUGCUUCCAUCCUAGUGCCUUGCAGAGAUCUAACAUGUCAGCAAAUUACCUCCAGUUCCCACAUUAUCGUUAAUCAUGGGCCUCCUGGGAUGACAGUGUUCCCCUAGACAUGAUAAAUAACAAUGACCUGGAGGCUCCUGCAUGCAGAUAUGUGCCUGUGUGCCUGCAAAGGGGGUCGGCAUCCAGGAGAGAUAGUGAGAAACUUUGUUCUUAAUGCCUCCUUUGGGAUUUCUUGCAAGGAGGCCAUUCAAAGCAGACUCCAUUCAAGGCACUUAGAAUGCCCUGCCCAGAAAUCUUUCCAGGGCCCUGGAGAUGCUCAAGGACAUUUGAAGAUUCCCAGGUCCGUGGAGAAGAAAUGCCCAUCUCACCAAACAAUGAGUCACUCUGACAUCUCACCUAUUCUGGGUUUUAGAGCACUGAGGCAAGGGAGGCCUUAGAAGUUCUCCAGUGAGCAAUCUCUGCGCUCCCCUCCCUCUGUGCAGUUAGCUAACAACAAGCUUUCAUUGAAGAUGUGCUUAUUAGCACUUCAGUCAGCUCCUCAGGGUCCCUCACUCCCAGGUUGACCUUGUGGUUGAUUCUGGUCUUAGCAGUCAGGCUAGUGUCCUUCAGAGGACACUGGGCACUUGCUGACACAUUUCUCAAUGCUGGAUGCAGCUAGCCUAACUGGGCUGUGGUCAGAUAUGGUCCCCAGACUCCUGCCAGCUCUGGGUGGACCGCUCCUAUGACAAUACUGGUCUUUCUGUCUUCUUCAUUCUCUCCUGAUCAUGCUCCAUACAGUCCUGUGAGCACUGUUGCUGUUUGUUCAGAGGUGACUGAAAUAAUUGUGAUGUUUAUCUUGAACUUACCUGUCUUAGUCUCUGGAGUUGCAGGACCACAGGCAUGUGCUACCAUGCCUGACUCUAAGCCUAGCUUUAGGACAAAGAAUCAUGACUCUAAGAAUGAUCCUCUUCAUAUUAUUGAGAGAACUAAAAGUAAUUAUGACUACAACCCAACAGAUAAACCCUGAGCCUUCUGCUUUGUCUGGUGGGCUAAGCUUUGUGCUACAAAAGACACUGACAACUCUGGUAACCCUGUGAUCUGAAGACAUUCCUUGUUGCUCUGCCCAAAGUGUAAUGAAGCUAGAUGCAGAUGCUGGAAGGCAUUCCAGAAAAUGCCAGAACUUCACACACAUAUACACAGACAUACACACAGAGAUACAUACACAGACACACACAUAUACAGACACACACAAACAGAUACACAUAGACACACAUAUAAAGAUACACACUCAGACACACAUGCACACAUAUAGACACAUGCACAGACAGAUACAUACACAGAGAGGCACCCCCCCACACAUACACAGACACAAACACACAUACAUACAUAGACACACAGACAUAGACACACAGGCACACACAGAAAUACAUACAAGUACACAGACACAUACAUACACACAGACACACACACACACCUGGUUAAUAAAGAUAUCAUGUGAAAAUAACAGAAAUUAAUGAAUGAAACAAAGCUUUCUGUCCCACAUGUUCAUUUGACCAUGCAAAAUAAAAAGCUACAGAGAAAUGUUUCUCCAGUAAACCCAGGAUCUGCCUCAACAGGAUGUGAAGCAGCAGAUAUAAGCACUCCAGAUCAACAGCCAUUUCUCCCUGAGUCUGUCUAGGUGUGGAUCUCUCUCCUCUGCCAUGCACAUGAGCUUGGAAAGCAGCACUUCCAAGGCCUCUGUGGGAUGGGGACAGUAAAUUAUUCUCUCAUGGAAUCCUUCCCUUAGAAUGUAGAAGUGGGAGCCAUGGAGAUGGUUCAGUUGUAAGAGAACUGCCAUAAAAGCAUGAGGUCACCCACAUAAAAAGUCAGCCAUGGCCACCCACACCUCUAAUCCCAGCACUGGAGGCUGGGCAGGGACUGGAAGACUGUAGGAUUGCCCACCUCUGCCCGGCUCCAACAUGGAACAUCCUCCUUUAGCCUCUGUUCACAUACACAUGGAUGCACAAAACCACACACAUGUACAUAUACAUCACAUAUCCACACACACUUGGCCCAUACCACAUAUACACAAACACACACAAACCUCAAAAUGGCAUGAAUAGGUCACAAGUUGGAGGCUGAUACACUUCUGUUUGUAGGAUUACAUAUAUUGUUCCAUUUCACACAUAUAAAUUUGAAGCUAUUUUUAGAUCUAGAUUUUGCUUCUUAAACACCUAAGAUCUAGUCAAGGAGAACCAUGAGUGUUUGCAGACACUGUCUCUCUGAUGUUCCAUAUUAUCACAAGGUUACAAGGUUCAUGUGCACCUGUGAUUAUUUCUGAUCUGCAGUGACUGUGGGACUGAUGUUACAGCUCAUCACUACUAUCUCUGUUAACCAGAAGCCACAGCUUUGUGAGAAGGGUGUGUGACAAGAGGCAGGUGUGGCCACAGCGAGAAAGAUACCACAAACUCUCCCCAGACGUUGGAUUCCUUAGACCUGGAUCUUCAACAUGAUGUUGGUUCAUGGGAAGAAAUGUUGGAUAUUAGAAUUUGCACAUAUUUUUCUCUGAUGUAAUCAAAAUGUCUCAGCAGUUUACUCAUAUUCCUGGUGAAAUAUGAGAGAAGCAGUGUACAUAUUCACGUAGAAAAGCAAAUGACUUAAAAUUGCUAAGCUCUCUUUUUUUUUUAGGCCUCAACUGAAAGCUCCUUUCUGUGGAAAGCCAGAGGUGAAGGAAGCCUUGCUGGACAGCAACACUCUGUUCUGAGGAACCCCAAACUCCUUAGCAGGAAUGGCCAAACCCAUCUCAGCAAGGCCAUGAGAGUGGGUUUUUCUUAAUUUGUUUAUUGGCAUGUACACAUAUGUGAGCACAUGUAUGGAGGUCAGAGGUCAACAUCCUUUAUCACUUCCACCUUACUUUUUUGAGAUGGGUGAAAACUGGAGCCAGUGGUUUGGCCAGCCAGCAUGCUCUAGGGUUUUGUUUUUGUUUUUGUUUUUGUUUUUUUUGGUCUCCCAGCACCAGGCUUAUGCACACACCAAGCAAGACUCUCCUGUGAGUGAUGGAAGUUAAACUCAUGCCCCAGGGAUUUUGUAGCAAACAUUUCACCAACAGAUACAUCUCCUUGGCCUUAGAGCCUCUUUAACAGCUCCAGCAAACUACCACAGUAAGCUCAUGCCAUAGCUCAAGUGCACCACCAUUGGGAAUUAGUUUGGGUACCCCAUACCCUACCAAGCCCCCAUGGCAGGCAGAACCAGUUCUGGAGGAAGAGGCAGCACAAUGAAGAAGGAAUGGGCGUCAGGAAGCCAUCACCAGAUGGCUACUGAGCCAGAACAGCACACACACCAUAUGAUGUUUGAGGUAUGGUGGGUCCUCUCAGCCACAGCCAUGGGCUGUUGAUGGAAUGGAAAGCCAUUGAUCUCACACAUAUACUAUUGAUGAGUCACUACCAAGGUAGGUGUUCAGCACUAGAUCUAAAACAUCUCACUCUCUUGGUUUAUGUUGCAUGAGAGUCCCAUUGUGCUUCCCCCAUAGAGUUUCAACAAGACAAUUUAUAAAUUUUAGCACUUGGCCCUGUCACUGGCAGAGGUGUGAAAUGAAGGGGGCCAGGGUGAGAUGGUGUGGAGGUUCCCUUCCCACAGAUGCGUACUUGCAAAUGAGGUAAGGAAGUGGAAGUGUAGUCAGGGAGGCUAAUGGCAGGCAGCCUGCCUAACUCUCCUGAAGUCAGAGCAUGCACACAAAGCAGGUAAUGGCUUUUAAGAGUUUUUUUUUUUUCUAUAAAUUGUCUGUGCCAGUGAAAGAUAUAGCCAAGAAAAUUUGACUACAAAAAAAAUGAUAAUUUUUUUUCAAAAAGCACACAUGAUUAUUUAUACAUUUAGGUUAAAAAUGUAUUAAAAGGCAGAGGUAUGGAAGAGCUGACAUACAUAUAUGCUCAAAUAAGCACUGAUUCCUAAUGAUUUUGCCUUACUUAUCAAUUAGCAAAUAUUUAUCUAAAAAUUUCUGAAAGGUUUUCCUCUUCCUUUAAAUUAACGUUGAAUCUAUUCACAUAGUAAGUAGGAAAACCAGCACCUUUAUCAGCCAACCUGUGAUAGAUAAAUGCGGUUUGAGAUGUUUAAUUAUUAAUUGCAUAAGAAUCAAUUUAUGUAUUUAAUUAGGAUAUUUUUAUUUGGAAGGGAAAAUAAAGCCAGAUGGUCAAUAUGUUUAUUUAAUAGGUUAACUUUGCUCCAUUAUUUAAUUUUAAAAGGGCCCCAACACAUGAAUAGUGAUGCCUGCUAUUUGGAUAUUCCAAAGGAAGGUGCCUGGAAGGGCUUGUUUCAAGAGAUUAGGCCACCAGUUUUCAAUGUUAAGAACGAGAUUGUGUAGCAAGCCUGUUAAGGAAGGCCUACAGUAUGGUGAGAUGCUUAGAGGAGAAAUGCCAUUCAGAGGGAUUGUCACUCAACUUAUUGUUUUUUUUAAAUUUUUUUAUUAGGUAUUUAUUUCAUUAACAUUUCCAACGCUAUCCCAAAAGUCCCCCACACCCUCCCCCACCCACUCCUCCACCCACCCACUCCCACUUCUUGGCCCUGGCGUUCCCCUGUACUGAGGCAUAUAAAGUUUGCACGACCAAUGGGCCUCUCUUUCCACUGAUGGCCGACUAGGCUGCCUCACUGAUAAGUGAAUAUUAGCCCAGAAACUUAGAAUACCCAAGAUAUAAGAUACAAUUUGCGAAACACAUGAAACUCAAGAAGAACGAAGACCAAAGUGUGGAUACUUUGCCCCUUCUUAGAAUUGGGAACAAAACACCCAUGGAAGGAGUUACAGAGACAAAGUUUGGAGCUGAGACAAAAGGAUGGACCAUCUAGAAACUGCCAUACCCGGAGAUCCAUCCCAUAGCCCCCAAACACUGACACCAUUGCAUACACUAGCAAUAUUUUGCUGAAAGGACCCUGAUAUCGCUGUCUCUUCUGAGACUAUGCUGGGGCCUAGCAAACACAGAAGUAGAUGCUCACAGUCAGCUAUUGGAUGGAUCACAGGGCCCCCAGUGGAGGAGCUAGAGAAAGCACCCAAGGAGCUGGGGGUGGGGUGGGGGUCUGCAACCCUAUAGGUGGAACAAUAAUAUGAACUAACCAGUACCCCCCGGAGCUUGUGUCUCUAGCUGCAUAUGUAUCAACUUAUUGUUUUAAUAAAUAGUAUUAUUGACUGUCAGUUACUGUUAACGCUCUUAUUGCACCUACUUUGUCAGUUAAACAUUAUAGGUUAGGUUAUAAAUAUAGGAAGCUGUACAGUAUGCACAGGGCUUCUCUAAUUCCUUAGCUCUACUAAUAUAGGAGGCUUCUGGAAUGAAAGGGUCUUGAAAACAUCCCCUGUAGCAUUUCCCCAAAGAGUACAGUGGUUUUUACUGAACUUUGCAGCCAGAGAGGCAGUCCUAAUGGAUAAAAGAUGUUAGAUACAGGUCUCCUUUUAAGAGGCCCCAUGUCCCACCUUCUAAUCUUCAGUAGUUUUCCUACUUGGAAACAAAAUCUAAAUCCCAACUUGUAAGUUGAUGUUUUCAGGGCUAGAGGGAUGGUUCUGGUUAAGAGCAUUAGCUAUUCUUCCAAAGAACGCAUAUUUGAUUCUUAGCCCUACAUGGUGUUACACAACUGUCUACAACUCCACUCCCAAGAGAUCAGAUGCCCUUUUCUGGCCUCCAGAUGCAUCAGAUACAUGUGUGGUAUAUAGGUAUACAUGUAGGCAAAAUAGCCAUGCACAUGAAACAAAAUAAAACAUUUCUUCCUGCUUCACCCCCAGAGAGAAAGUUUAGAGAAUCUUUGAUGGGUAGAGCUUGCUAGAUGUGUUUCCAUGGCUUGCCCAUCAUGACUGGGCAGUGUGUGGCUGGGUGGGCUUUCAUGGCUCACCCCAUCCUGACUGUGCCUCCUGCUCCUAGGGCUGCAGGGAGAGAUUGCACACUGGAGACUACAAACCUCUGUGAGUCAUAUCCUUAGUGGGAGCAUCUGCAGUAUCUUAGUGCUUGACUCCUUCAUAAGUUAAGGAGUUAAAUAAAAUCUUUGACUAAGAAUCUUUGUUCCUUUAUUAAUUUGGUGCAAGUCACCAAGUACCUCUUAGAGAGAGUCCAGGCAGGCUUUCUUUGUGGCUUUCUGCAUGCUGUCAUCUCUUGUAGCUGGCUCCUUCCUUGACCAACCAAGCUGGAUGCCAAGCAGGAAACACACACCUCUAUUCACCCCUCACAGAGCUAUGGACAUAAGGCCUUCGUGGCUGCUUGACUUUAUGAGGCAGAGACAAUAGGAAACCUGCUACACACAAGAAUGCAGAAAACUAAAAUCAAAAGGCAGCUUUCCCAGGUGUCCCCUUUCUGGGGGUCACCAGCACUGGCAGCUGUGUUUUAUUCCUAGUGUCAAAACUUCUCUUUUCUGUCUUUCUACUUCGCCAUGUCCUUGGAAUGACCUUGAAACUUCCUGAUGUAUCUUUACAGACCUUUUUCAAGACCUUGUUUCUGAUAUAGAAUUUCACAACUAAAUGUUGUUCUUGGCCUUGUACCCAUCCUGAGCUAAUCCACAAAACUGUCCAGAUGCCACAUCGAAGAAAAAAAAAAACUGCAUUUCCUUUCCAUCCACUUUCUAAAAACAGGAACCACCACAUUCAUUUCUUAAUUUUAAUCGGCACAGAAGGAAAAACAGAGAAAGCUAGCCUUUGUUAGCUCUUACAGAGACUUGUAAUAAACAAAUGAAAUUAGCUGGAGAGAUGGCUUGGUGGGUAAAUUACUUGCUGUAUAAGCAAGGGGAUCCUCAGAACUUGCAUAAAAGCAGGGCACAGUUCUAAGGGAUUUGUAACCUCAGUAUUCCAGGAAAGGGAAACAGAGAUUGCUAGAUUCUAGGGGCUAGUGAGAACCAGGUUGAGGGAAGGACCCUACCUCAAAACUAAAAUGUAAAGCAACAGAGGAAGACACCCAGUGUCAGCCUUUGCUUUCCACAUGCACACACAUGGGGAGCUCACCCACAUACCCAUAUACCACACAUACAAAAAACCCAACUUAAAAAAUUAUAUGUAGGCAAAUUUAAAGAAUUAGCUAUGCUGAACAAUUGGUGAAAUUCAGUAUAAACUUUUUAUUAUUUAUAUUUAUACAUUUAACUUUAAAAUGUUUUGAACAUGUUUAUUUAAAUAUAAAGUAUUGAAAUUUGAACAGAAUUAUUGUACAUUAUAUAAUAUUAUGUAUCUCUGUAAAUAUAUACAAACACACACACACAUGUGCUCAGCUCUCAUAUGUAUAUGCAAGGAGCCUAUAAAAUAUCUUUUGAAAAUUAACAUUAAAUUUAAUGCUACAAUUAUUAAAUAUUUUAAGGUAGAACCUUGCUAAAAUCUACUGAAUAUUUUUAUAUUGCCUGUAUAUCAAAUUAUUUAAGACAACUUAUAAUUAUGUGUCCUGUAAACUCACUGUAGUGAAAAUAAAAUAAGCCCUGAAGUAUGGUGGAUGUUGACAAAGCAGAUCUUAAGAAUACCACUCAGUCCCUAGAGGUCAGUCCUAGAUAGCUGGGUGGUCAUCUGAAGCCAUGCCUAGCCAGUGGAUCACACAAAUGGAAACCAUGCUUCCUCAGUGGAGCACACACCUAAGCCAUGCUUAGACUGUGGAUCACAACAGUGUGGGCCAUCUUGGUAUGUCUUAGAAUGUGGGGUACAGCCUAGGAUGAGUACAUUUUCCUGACUCACACUAUGCCCUGACCUCUGCGUCUGGCUGGUUCUGCAAAUUCAGUGUCAGGUAUAAGGCAGUUUGUGGUAAUGAACAAUACAUGAGAAAUGAAAUGGCUAUGGUGACACCAUCUUGUCCUAACUCUGCCUUGUUUCUGCCAAGAAAUGCUUCAGCCUCUCAUCCCCCAACAGCCAUAUCUACUUCCGCAACAAGGGGCUGUCCCUGACCUGGCUGUUGUCCAGACAUAUUAACCAAACUAAGUGAUGUUUGGGCAAGCUAAAACACCAAACUAAGAUAAUUGAGAGGAAGUAUAAAUAAAAAAUAAUUAUUGCUGUGUAGUGUUUGGAAAAUACUGCUAAGCUUUGCAAGAAAACAGAUGCUACUAGAUACCCCAACCCUUCCCUGAUGCAGCCCUCCCCUGCCCCCCACUUGAGCACUGGUGUAAUUGUGGUUUUUGUCUUUUAAAAUGCUGUACCUCUGAGCUUGGGCACCAAGAAUCUGAGGCAUAAGCCUGCUCUUGGUUGUGGGCUAAUAAAAGGACUCAUAUAUGUUUAAUUGGUCUAAUUAAUGUGGGUAUCAAGAACAACCUCCUGUGGCUCACUUCAGUAAACAAAAGAAGGAGGAAGGAAAAGAGAGGAGGAGAGAAAAGAGGAAAGGGGAGAUGGCUGGAAAUACAUGACCUUCAGCAUUGGCCCUGGAGGCCUUUCCUCUUGAUAGUCUCAGCUUAUACUCUCAGCUUCAUGCAUUAGCCUGGAAGACCAUCAGGUCUAGCCUUCUGACCCACAAUACAGCAGUGCUUUGCAUUGAAAUGGCUUUUUAGGGCAUGACGUAAACUAAUUCUAGAAGGCGCACCGAACAUCCCUCCAAUUUCUGAGGUGACCUGAACUGCGUUUCUGCAGUCAUUCAUCAUCAGGCAGAGUUGAAAUGAGCCUCAUCGGAGUGGACGUUUGUAGGGCAUCAGCACCCAAGAAGGCUCCUCUGAGCUAGAACUGAUUCAUGGCUCCUUGGAGGAUGCCUUUCUGUUACUGUCAACCUGCCUCGGGCUUAGGAGCACUGGACUGGACAUAAGCAAUUGUCUCCUAGCAGGCUGGGAGCUCAGGGUAAGCAAAGAAAAACCAGCCACAAAGCUGAGAAAAUUGGUAAGUUUAAAUAGAAAAUCUUCAAAUAGGAUCUGUUCUCUCUCUCUCUCUCUCUCUCUCUCUCUCUCUCUCUCUCUGUGUGUGUGUGUGUGUGUGUCUGUGUGUGUGUGUGUGUGUGUCUGUGUGUCUGUGUGUCUUGUGUGUCCAGGUAAAAGGGAAAUGCUCCAGACUGUGACUAGUGAAGGAAACUACUAAUGGGCCUGAUAUUGCAAGAAGUAAUAUAGAGGGCUUCUUCACAUGGGUAACAUUUCUAAGGCAUUAAAGGGAGGAAUGUAUGCUUAGAAAUGGUGGGAGCCACUCAGGCACAUUCAGAAGAGGGAUAACGGAAGCAGAUUUAAACCUCAGCAAAAUCAGCUUGAUGGCAAGGGAAGCAAUCCUCUGGGAGAGUCCACAGAACAGAGGCAUAAGGGCUCACUCAUUCCACAGCUAGAAAUCUGAGCAAGCCAACAGGAGCUGAUAAUGAGGAGGGUGGGAAGUCUGUGGUACUGAUCAGUGUGGGGAGGGUGCUGUCCCUAUGCUCAAAAAAAUAAAUUCCCAGGUACCUGGCUCCAGUCUUAACAGGUGGGUCUGGUGUUCACAGAGAGGAGAAACAUGGGAAAUGGGACUGGGCUGUUGUGAGUGGAACAUAAAGAGAGCCCAAUCCACGUAGGAUCUGGUCCGUACGGGUGCUAGCAGGGCUCCUCAGGCCAAGAUGCCUUUGAUUGCCUUAAGGUCCUCUGUAAAAGCCUCCUGCUUCAAUAGUUCUGCAGUAGGAUAAUGUAUCUGUUCACUUGAUAGCUGCUGCUGCUGCUGCUGCUUCUGCUGCUGCUGCUGCUGCUUCUGCUGCUGCUGCAGGUCUGGUCUGGGGUUUGAAUGAAGGAUCCUUGUUCAUUGAGAGCUUUCUAAUUACACUCAAUAAGUUCACCAUUGUCAAUUCUACAUUACCAGCAGCCAACCACAUUUUGGCAGAACACAUGGCUGAGUACCCUGAGCAAAGGCCUGCACAGGGAAGGAUGCUGCACUGCAGUGCUGCCCAAUGGCCUGCAAGGUCUCCAUGGAGACUGUGGCUCCUCUCCUUGCAAGGGAUAGAAGAGGGAAUACUUUCCAUCAUUGGUAGCUAUGUGUAAAGGCACAGGGAUGCCCAAGAUUCCCACUCAGCAUCAGAACUCUGUGCUAUGAAGUCUGACUGUGCUGCUACUAAGGGCUAGUGAUCAUCUCUUCCCCCCUCUCUGAUUCUGUGUGCAUAGAACAUCAUAUGCAUGGCCACCAAGAAGGCAAAGCCAUCCACCCCAAGGAGAAGAGUCAAAAUCUAUUUAUAUAACCACCAAGGAAAUGCAAAUCAAAACCAUAAUGAGACACUGCCCAGCUAUAGUAAGAAUAGCUGUCUUCAAAAAGAAGAUAGCAGGUGCUGGAAAGGAUGUGGAGAGAAGAGAACCUUUACACACUGUCAGGAAUGCAAAUUGCCACAGUCUUUAUGGAAAAUAGCACAGGGAUCCUCAGGAAGUGCAAAAUGGAAUUACCAUAUGAUCCAGCGAUCCUGCUACUGGGGAUAUAUAUAUUCUCCGAGGGGGGAAUAAAAUCUGUCGAUGGAGAUGCAUCUGCAAAUCCAUGUCUGGUGCAGCACUAUAUUCUCAGCAGCCAAGAAAUGGGAAUAAUCUGAACCAUACAAACAGCAAAUGAAGUUCAUGUGGUAGAUAUGCACCAUGGAAUAUUAUUUGGCCAUAAAAAGAAUAAAAUCCUAUCAUUUGUAUAAAGAUUAUUUUAUAGAUUAAAUAGUUCAGGUAUAGCAAGGAUUCCCUUGAUCUCACCCCUGUGUAGCAGGUAAAAACAUUGAUCUCAUGGAGAGCAGUGAUAGGAAGCUGGUAACCAGAGGCUAGGAAGAGUAAGGAGAGAGGAAGAAAGAGGGGCCAGGGGCAGACUGAUCACUGCACUAAGUCACAGUGAUACAGGAAUAAGCUCUAGCUUGCUACUGCACAGAGAAAGGGUUCGUCUGGCUUAUAGGUUAGUCUAUCAACCAGAGAAACCAGGGCAGGAAUUGAAGCAGAUACUAUGGAAGACCACUGUUUACUGACUCCCCUGGAUUGCUCGGAUGCCUUUCUUAUAUAUCCCAAGUUCUCAUAUCACUUAAUAAAAAAGCCUCCCUUUCCCCAAACAUGCCCACAGCCAGUUUGAUGGAGGCAAUUCCUCCCUGAGGUUCCAUCUUACUAAGUGACUGAAAGUUUGUAUCAAGUUGACAACAGAAAGCUGUAACACCAGCAGGCCUGGGUGCUUUGAAUGUUUCUCCAUAGAUAUACAGUAACCAUUUCAGGAGACAGGUGUGUUUAGCUAGCUGUAAAUAUUACCUGGUGGCUGCAUGCACUGAGAUUAUCUAUCACAUGGCACUCCUUAGCUAUCUUUGUGUGCAUGUUAAAAUAACUGAGUCUAAAGGAAGGCAUAACUUCACUCAAAGCACCUCUCUGUUGAGCACCCCACACAUUUCCAUGAAACCCUCUAACCCGAGAGGGUGGUUAAAGAUGGAACAGUGAUGUGGGAAACCUUCAUUUCAGAUUGUCUGCUUUAACACUUAAACUCAUGGAAAGAUCACGUGCUCCAUAUUCCCUUGGUUUCAUUUCUAGAGAUAUCAUUGCCAGACACAAUUGAAAUUCUAGUUAUUUCUCCACCAAAACAGCAAAGACACAUUCAAGAGAGCUCACAGAAAUUUCAAAGAGAAUCCACAGCAGCGUGCCAGAUAGAAACAGAAUCUUUCAUGAGAUUCAUGCAAGUAAUGUGUAACAUGAUAGCCACAGAAUAGCAGACACCAUUUUCUAGAUUCACACAUCAAACACAGCAAGUUGAAUAAGGUGACACAUACCUAUAGACCCAGUAGUUGAAAGAUACAGGCUUCUAGGGCCAGCCUGGGCUACACAGUGAAAUACUAACUCAAAUACAACAGAACACAACAGCAGUUAAAACAUAUUUGAGGUUACUUUUAAAACCACUAGUGACAUAUAAUGGCUUCAUUUUCUUUCCACAUUGCUUAGUCUAGACACACUUAUAAGAUCUGAAUCUCAGCACUUUUUAUAAAGGUAUUUGUAAAUCUUAAAGGGCUUUAUCUAAUGAUACAUUAAAGUAUAAUUUUAAGUUUAAAAAUAAUUGAAUUACACAAACAUCAAAAGCAAUUCUCUUCUAAGAUAAAUGUUUUAUCAGAAAUCUAUUUUUCUGUCGGGCUGUUAAUUUCCAAAUGAUUGGAGAACUAAUAAUAAAUUUUAACACACUCAUUAUGUGUAAAGAUGUUGAAUCAAUAACAACAAGGUGCAACAGGUUGGAGAGCUAAAAACAAGAGAAUGAGUGUGAGGCCUAAAUAGGACAUCUACAUAAACCCAGCACUACCCAGGCUCAGAGAACAUCAAAGAAGAGGAGAUGGAAAGAAUGGGAGAGCUGGGGAGUGGGAGGAGCUAUGAAGUGUUGUCCUCUAGGACGUCCUGGUCCUGGCUGUUAGAGCUCACUGCAACUAUGGCUAGCUACACAAGAUCAGGGCAGCUAAAAUCCCGUAAUAGCCAGAGUGGAUAAUCUUCAGGACUCAUCCUGCAUUGUGGUGCUAUUGGAAAUAACCAGCCACUGAGGGAGGGAGAAACGUUAUUAUGUGAGGAUGUGAGCACUCAUAAGUUGCCCAUGCUCCAGUGGACAGCCACACAACCAUGUACAUGUGGGCAACGUUAACUGGACUUAGUGGGCGUCAAAAAUAAAAAAUAAAAGACAUAAGAGACAUGAGGUUAGAACAAGGGUGUGUUGGGUGGGCAUGGGAAUUAUAAGGGAAGCUGGAGUAAAAAUGAUACUAUCUCCUUAUAUAUGUAUAAAAUUCUCACAGAGUUUUUUGAGUUUCCCAGCUAAAAGAACUCAAAAUGAUCAGUGUUUGAAAAGAAAUGCAUGAAAUCUAUGUAAGUUACCUCGUGAACAACAUAUAGCUUGGCACCCCACAAAUAAACACAAUUCUUAGGUUUUCAUAUAGUAGCUGAGAUGGGGGAACUUGAAGGAAAGGGAAGGCAGAUAUGUACAAGAUACACUGAAUACAGGUAUGAAAAUUUCCAACAAUAAAUAAAAAUUAAAGAUUAAUUUAAAUGCUGUAAGGAGAUAGGAGAAAGCCCAGGAAUCUCUAGCUGCGGUGUUGUUUCAAUGAAGAACUAACACAAUUUUUUCCCUCAAAUUCUCCCUAUGUGAAAUUGAUUUUCCAAGGCCAGCAUUAGAAAGAAUGCCACAAAAGAAAGUUGCACAUAAUAUGAAGAGCAGACACCGAAGGCUCCAACAGACUACCAGCAAACUUAAUCCAAGAACAGCAUACCUCCACAAAGAGGUAGGAUCCAUGUCUGGUAUGGAAGGAAGAUUUGACAUAAUGCCAAUCUGUCAAUGUGAUACUCAAAAGUUUUAAAAUGAAGGGACAAGACAGGCCACGUCAUACCACUGGUUUAAAAAUAGACCACAAAGCAACAACUAUCAGAACAACAUGGCUUUUUCAUAAAAACAGAAAGUUCAUUGUAGUGCAGGUCCAAGAGAUCAUUUACAUUUAUGUUCAUUUGGUUUUACACAAAGAUUCUGAAAACACAUGCAGAAUAAAGGAUGGUCUAUUCAAAGUUGCUGGUGUAGAGAUAUGAAAACAAACCUUUGUAAUACACAAUAUACAAAUACCACCACAGAAUGGAUGAUAUACUCAAAUGUAAAACCUGAAACUAGAAAAGUCCUGGAAGGAAGUGUAGAGGGAGGGCUGAAGGGAAACUUAGUCAGCAGAGCAUCUGGCAUGCAAGCAUGGGGACCCAAGUGUGGCUCCUGAGCAUGUGGCAGCAAACAUCUGUAAUCAGGGCUUAACAAACAGGUGCUGCACCAUAUGUCUGUAAUACCAGGGCUGGAAAGUCAGAGACGGGCAGAACCUUUGUCAUUACUGAGCCAAACUGAUGAUGAGGUUCAGGUUCAGUGAGACUCUGUCUAUCCCAAAAUUAGGUAGAGAAUGAUUAAGAUAUCUGAAAUCAACCUGUGACCUUUACACACAUGUAUAUGCAUGUAAACACAUACAUACACACACACACACACACCCAUGGCAUAGAAGAAAAACUUGUUUGCAUUGGCUUAAACAGUAUUUUUUUCAUAUAAUCCUAAAAGCACAUAAAAUGAUAUAAAAAUGACAGGUGAGAUUAUAUCAAAGUAAAAACAUUAACUUAGUGUUUCUUGUGUGCAACAAAAUAAUAUAUUUGUAAGACAUACAUGAUAAUGAGUUAAUUUGUAAGCUAAAAUAAUAAUAAUAAUAAUUUAACAUCUGAGAUAUAUAUAAGAAUUGAAACAAUCCAAUAGCAAUAAAAUAAAUUAAACACAGGAGAAGAACUUGAUUAGACAUGUCUAAAAAGCAGAUACACAAGUGGCCAGUAGGUAUACAAAAGAAUGCUCAUGUCUAAUUGCUGAAGACAUAUGAGUUAAAGCUAUCAAGCGAUGCCACAUGUACCUGAUAAGGUGGCUCUUGUCAAAGACCAAAGAUAACAACAGAAUGUGGUGAAAGGCACAGAUGAAAGAGGGCCCUGGCUCACUGCCCACAAGAAGGUGAAUCAGCAUGUGCUGUUAUUCCUGCAUCAUUUGAAAGCAGUGGGGGGAGGAGGAGAGAGGGAGAGAGGGAGAGAGGGAGAGAGAGGGACAGAGGGACAGAGGGACAGAGGGAGAGAGAAGGAGAGAGAGAGAGAGAGAGAGAGAGAGAGAGAGAGAGAGAGAGAGAGAGAGAAAGAGAGAGGGAGAGAGGGAGAGAGGGAGAGAGGGAGAGGGUUUUCUAUACUCCAGGACUGCUCAAAAUCAUGUAUGAAAUGGCCUAGCAUCUGCAUAGAGCCCACACAUCUGAUGGAUUUCAACUAUUUCCAGCUUACUUGUAUAAUUAUUCCAAACCCAAGCUAAAGACUAUAUACCUAGUUAUGCUAUAUCGUCCAAACAGUAAAGAUGGCAGAGAUGUUUGUAUAUGUUCACUUCAGAGGCAAUCUUUCUUGGUUUGUGAUUAAGUUUAUGGUUUUAGAAUAUGUAAUUGUAGAGAGACAACUAGUUCUGCACAUUUACUCUAUCCGUCUAUCAUCUGUCUCUCUGUCUCUGUGUCUGUGUCUGUUUUUCUGUCUAUCUCUCUGUGUCCCUGUGUCUCUGUGUCUGUCUCUGUCUGUCUGUCUGUCUGUCUGUCUCUCUACACACACACACACACACACACACACACACACACACACACACAUACAUCACUUAUAUGGGUGUAUAUAGAUAAGAUAUAUGUAUAUUAAUACAACUAACAUAGAAAAAUAUGCUAUUUAAAAGGGAAAGCAAACUUAAAAUGGACUUCAUGAUUCCACAGAAUUUGGAUUACAACACAGGAUGACUCCACUUCAUAGCCAUGUGACAAAGGCCACUCUUCACCAGAUUCAAACAAACAAAAUCUUGGGACUCUACCCCACCAAGGACAGAACAGCUGGGCUCCAGAGUGUGGCAGUGUGCAGCUGAAUGCCUGGUUUCUUAAUUAAGAAUCUUCCGACUGGCAAAGUGCUCAUCCUGUUUAAUAUGGAGGAACAUUUCAGGAGCAGAUGGCAUCUUAUCUACCGGACAAAGCAGCCAUCAGGACCUCUCUGUUGGAAUGCCAACUGUCUUCUUUCUGAUGUGACUUUUCUUUCCAUGCCUUCAUGGAUAUAAAUGUGCCCUGACCUUGGGCCUCUGUCUCCUACCAUGUACAGGGGACAGACCCAUCUGCAAGCACCUGACACUGGGGAAGAGUCUUAUAAGGGUGGCAAUUUUACAAAGCUGGGGCGGUUUGCUGGGGUCUAUAAGCAAUUUGAAGGUAUUGCCCUCCCCCAUGCCUAGAGGGGUGAUAGGAAGAGCCCAGGGUUUGCAAACAACUUGACAAAGAAGAAGCAGAUGAAAUAAAAUCAAUGCCAGCCAGCCCUGCAGGCUUACCACUCUGAAAUUGCUAUUCCUAUCCCACACGGAGCUUCUGCCAGGCCAGCAUAUUCUACUCGGGGUCAGGGCUAUGAGUGUCUUAUUUUUGCUGUCUUUACCUUUGGCUUUCCCUCUUAAAAACUGAUAUUUCCACUUCUAGUCAUCCUGGUCCGUAAAGACCAUCUCUGCUAGCUUGGUAUCUAUUGAGGUCAUUCACAAGUUGCCUUCAUUACAGUGGGUACACAUUUUUAUUAAAAAAGCAUGAAGUCCAGCACUCUGUAAGCCUACAGUUUUCUCACCCAUCUCCUGGGCACAAACAGUACCCAGGGAUUUUACAAAUGAACAUUCCCCUGGGAAUCUUCAGUAAACUGUGAGAAAUUAACACAGGGGAGCAAGCAAGCCCAUGGACCCAUGGCUUCCCCAGGAUCAUGGCUGUUAUAUGAGAAAAGACAGCUUUUCUGAGGGAUGGUGUGGGAUGUGUGAGGACUCUGCUUUCAUGACCUGCUACCAUUCCUUUCUUUGUUUGUAGUGGGGAACGCUGGGGCUGAAUAGGGGUCUUGUAGCCAGAGCUGGAUUGAGAAGGAAGUGUGUCAGGUCCAAAGAUAUGCCUGUGUGUCCUGCCAAUGUGCCCUCUGCUUUGUUCUCAUCUCUCUUGGCUUGGUCCCUCCUCCCUCUUCUCUCAUGCCUCUGUCUCACUCCCCUCCCUAUGUCUCCCCUCUCUUCUCUUCUCUCCACACUUACUUCUAGAGUCUAAACACCUGUAAUUCCUUCUCCCCAUUCUCGCUCAUUUGGUUGCUGUGACCUUCCCAACCAUCUGUAUAAAGACAGCACUCUUAUUCCAUGGCCUAUUAUCUUGGUUCAUCUUUAUCGGUGCCACUAAAUCAUUUAUGCAUAUUAAAUGAAAUAAAUUUAAAAUUAAACAAGAACGCCAAGUUCUGCUCCAAGCACUGUUUUUUACUAAAGAUGAACCCAGCACCAAGAAGUAAAAAUAAUCCCCUGUCCCAAGACGAGGGAAUUUACACCGAUAGAUGUGGACUCAGCCACGUGGUUCUGGGCCAAGAGAUUAUAAAAAAAUCAUCUCUUAAAAUACCAUUUUAUGUCACACUAGGGUGUAUCAAUUAACCAUUCAAAAGUGAUCAGUCCUUUAGAGAAGAUGUGGUUCUUUGAGCCUGAGAGGGUGUGAUGUUCACAGAGGACAUGGGAUGCACAGGGGAAGGACAACAGAGCAGAAGCCUUGAGGGGUUAUACAGGCUUGGGGUGGAUAGGAGAGUCCUGUAUAUCCAAGUGAAGGCAUGACUCAGACCACUGAAUCACAGCACAGGGAAGCAAGAACUUAUAAGGAGGUGGGGGGAAAAGAAGGGUGAGGCCUGGCAAAUUCCCCCAUCUGCACUGGUAUGUUAACUGGUAUAGUCAUUAUGUAGUUCUUGUUUAGGCAUAGAUAUAGUUGAUAUUACAUAUACCGUGGAAUUCUUUCCAGCCAUGAAUGACAUUAUGCUACUUGUAGGAAUACGAAUACAAACUGAUAUAAUGAGAUUAAGUGAAAGAAGACAGUCUCAGACCAAUAACAUAUUUCCCCCAUAUGGCUACAUAAAGCAUGUAUGCUUUGAUUUAAUAAAAAUAGAAAUGAAAUUGUCUACAGAAACAAACAGGUUUAAUGGGAGGGAGAGGGUUGAGAAAAGGGUUGGGGCAAAGAAACUGGGCAGGAUAUACUCAAUGUGCAAUCUAUGUCUACUGAUUUAAAAGGUAGAAACUUGAGCUCCAGAGACACAUAGGAAUACAGCAAGCUAGCUCACCAUCAGCAUACAUGAAGUGUAGACCCACACUGAUUCAGGCAGCUGAGUCCACUAACUGCUAGAAAUUCACAACAGCUUUAAAGUAGCAUCUCCCUUUUAAUUUUGCAAAGGAAAAUUGAUAGUAUGAAGUCAUUUACUGUUGAGUAUUCUUCAGUAUAUCUGCAUGCUCAAAAUGUCUGGUGAUUUUUAAGUAGUUUAUUUUGUUAUUUGAUAAGGAUGGGAAACCUUGGGGAAUGUAUUCAUAACAUCCGGAAGGAAAAGUGAAAUCUGAUGAGUUAUAAGAGAAAAGUCUCUGUUCACGUCUUUGCUUGGAUUCAAUGCACCCAGAUUCCUACCUCUCAGACUUGGCUUUCAGGCUUAUCAGAGAACGUUUCUAGGAGGCAAAUGUUGCCUUGAGUUCCCUCUGUUGGUGUUACUAUGCCUUUUAAUGCUGCAUCCUGUGUAGAGGGAUUCUCAGGCUAUUAUUAAGAGAACUGACCCUUGCUAAGGUUUGGAGUUGUUUCGGGAUCUCUCAGUCUCAUAUAUAUCUGUUCAGUUGCUCUCUGGGGACCUCCGCUUAUCCCGUGGGCUCACUUAGGGAGCUGCUUUGUAACUGUGAUGCCCUCAGUGCCUCCCCACCCCCCCAACCAUACUUCAAUUCCUUACCACACUAUGCUAAUGUAUACUCUCUGUACACAGCCAUGACAACAUUAUUGACUGUGAACACUGUACCUAUAACUAUUCAUCAAAAUGUCUUUAUGAAAUGAGUACAGUAGCUGAACUUGGUUCCUUUUUAUUGAGUCAGAUCCUCAAAAUUAUGCAAAUGAUAAGAUAUGAAAUAAUAGCUGCAAAACAAACUUUAGAAGGAAACUUUGAUCUGACUGGGCUCCCUUACUUUCUUGUCUGGGGCGGGGGAGCAGGGGUCAACUUUAAGUGUUAUUCCUCAUUUGCCAUGUACCAUGUUUUCUUUUUGAGACAGGUUCUCUCACUGGCCUGGAGCUUGCAGGCUAGGCUGGCUGGGUAGUGAGUCCCAGGGAUCCUCCUAUCUCUGACAUCCCAGUACUGGGAUAACAAGCAGGUUCCACACUAUAAUGUCUGCCUUCUCUGGCUUUUGAUUUUUUUCACUUUUACAUGGGUACUGAAUAGUAAAUCCCAGUUCUCAUGCAUGUGGGACAAGUGCUUUACAGGCUAAGCACCGCCUCAACCGCAUCGUUGGAGAUUGUUAGCAGUUAACUGGAGAGUCCUGGUCUGGUGUCCUGUAUGUUUACAAUUCUACAUGUAACCUGUUGUACCAUCUCCUCUGCUGAUCUCAGAGACAGAGGAGCCAGUGUCUGUUAUUUACUGAUCUCAGCCUCCAGGCUGUGGCAUGCCACAAGGAUGUCAGCAGUCAUUACCAAUCCCACGUGGUAGGUUGGAAACAAUAUGAGUCACACUGGGUUUUGAGACAUGCAAUAGAUAGUGAGUGUCCAGGUGUUUAAAUUCUCAGUUUGGAAGUUUGAUGCCAUUUUAUGGAACCUGUUCCCAUCUGGAACUUUCUUAAGAAACAUGAAGAAUAGCUAUGUGAACUGCUGGUCCUUGAUCCAAUGGUAGUAAAUCAUUCAGAAAAUCGUGGGAAAUGAGUAGAGCCCAAGGUUGUCUUAGCCCCAUUUUUACUCUUUCUUGAGGCAUGCAAAAAAAAAAAAAAAUCAAGUUGAUGACACAAGGUUUCUUUUGUUUAAAUACAGAGUGGCAAAGGGCGUUUAAAAAUGGACAACCAGACCAAAGCAGCUUUUAGGAAAGGCGAUCAACCUUCUCAGUAAACCCUGUGCCAUAUUCCAUCUGCUCAUCACAUGGACGCUGUAGACAUGGGCAAAGGACAUGAUCCUGUGGUAAUAUCUACAUGUUCUAAGACUGUAUAAAGAUUCGGUAAUAGCAGCUGAGCUCCAGUGAGAAAAUUCUAGAAUUCCUAGGCAUAUCCAAGAAGAUAAUGACAUUCAUUUAAAUAUAAGAAAAAACUCCCUGUAUGGGGACCAUAUAGAAGGAUCUGGAGAACAAUUUUAUGUCAUUCCAUAUUGUCUUAUUUUAGUAAAUGCUACAUAAAUGUAUAUGGUGUGCUAAGUAGCCGUGAUGGUUGGCCUUAAUUGUCAAUUUGACUCUAUCUAAAAUCACUCAGGAAAAGGGAAAGUAGGUAUUGAUUGCCUAAAUCAGGUUGUCUCUGGGCAUCUUUGUGUCUGUCCUAAUUAAUAGACCUGGAAAGCCUCAGCCCACUAUGGGCAGCAUCACUCCCUAGGCAGAAAGACCUGGACUGUGUAAGAAUGGAGAAAUUGAACUGAACACAAGCAAACAAGUGAGCAACCUGGACUUCUCAGCUACCCUUUUCUCCCCUAAGCUAAUUGUUGUCAGGGUAUUGAUCAGAGCAACUGCAAUGGAACUAGAAUGGACAAAAGCCAUAGUUAUACAAUGGUCAAUACUUGUCAAUACCUCAGGUUUAGCAACAGAUCUUAUUACAAGUGAGUAUUCUUCUCUUAGUCACCCUCUGAAGAGAACAGGCCUGACUCUAGCAUGUGAUGUGGACUUGGGCAGCUAACCACUGCAUCCCUCAGAGAGAGGAAUGUGGUCUUAGAGGAAAUGCCAAACACACCUCAACUAGUGCUAGCCAGAAUGGGCUGCAUAAAGAAUUUGUUUGUAUUUUUCUCUGAAGAAUUACUUUCUAAUCUUUUAUAAUUCCCAACCUCAGGAAAUUCCUUUUCCCCAGAUAUACUAUGAAUUACUAUUGCUGUGAAAUACAAAGAAGCAUUUUUCAAGUAUAUCCCUUUAUGAAAUCAGAAUAUUUCUAAGCCAGUGAUUUUUCUGAACUGUUUCUAAAAAUUUGGAAACUAGGCUGGGAACAUGAUUCAGGACCUGAGUUUGAUCCUCAGAACCCACAUAAAAAUUCGAAGACAGACUGAUAAUGUGCACUUGUAAUCCAGGCCUGGGAGGUAAAGAGAAGACAGGAGAUCCUUGAGGCUCUCUGGCUAGCUAGGGUAGUCUAAUUGGUGAACUUGAGACCAGUGAGAGAGACCCUGUCUCAAAGAAGGUAUGUGGCCUUACUUGAAGCACACAUGAAAACACACACACACACACACACACACACACACACACACACACACACGAAUAUAUACAUGCACAAACAUUAAAAAUUACUAACCAAAAGCUGUACGUUGCAUUAAACUUUAAAUCAUCAUUUUAAAAUACAAACCAAUUUUUUAGAAAAAGCACAAUGACCUACAGCCCCUCAACUCUAUGUACUUGACAGCAAAGUCACAUUUUCUCUAGAUUCUCCCUUUCUGUCUAAUAGGAACAAUAUCUCUUGUCACUGCUGAUGAGUGAGUUGAGAGGAAGCUGCAUAUUCAUGUCUCCUUCCCUAUAAAUAUUAGGACAUUGUUGUCGAAGAAAAAAGAUGGCCUUUUAUAGAUCGUGGAGAAAUCAUUUGCUUUAGAAAAGCCAAAUUGAACUGUGCUUUUCUUUAAUUUCCAAGAACAUCAGCAGAUGAGCGUUGUGAAACACCAGUUGAUAGAAACAAACUUUAUCUUAAUCAUGCAUGGUCCCUUUUAGCUUCUCAUUCCAAAGAAUGAAACAGUAACAUUUUGGGAAGUCAAAGACACAUUGUAGAUGCAGGCACUUAACAUAGCCAGGUGCCUCUUGUGCUACACCAGGAAAUACAUUUAAUGACUUAGAAAUGAUUUAAUGACUGUCAGGAGUCUGCUGGGUUUGAUACAGUAUUUGAUAUGAUUUUUAACUAAAUUUAUAUCAGUGUGCUACGAUCCAUGUAUUUGGCCUGUCGCCAUAUUUCUAAAGGGUUACAUUUACUAUUGUUUUUGCUUCCAAUGAUGAGAUGUCUAACAUUUUGGGGAGAUUAGUAGAAUGGCUGAUGACAUCAUCUAUGAACUAAUGAAAAGAAAACCAAGACCCUCCAAACUGACUUCUAUUGAAAUUAAUUUUUAAUAACUGCUUGGUUUGUAUCACUACUUCCCCAAAUGCUAAUUAAUUCUAACUCUAAACUAUGUAAUUAUAAUACUUCUGCUGAAAUACAAAUUAUCUGGUGCCCUGGGGUGAAGGAGUUAGAAUACAUUUCAUGUUCCAUUCAAUAGAGGAAACAUGCUGUUUCCUCCACCAUGGAAACAUGGGAGACACAGCCGCUGGCUCCCCACCCUCAAACCUCUCAUUUCCCUUCCUCUCCAUUUAGCAGGAAGACAGACCUAGGUCGACAGUUGGCAUCCAGCAGGCUUAAUGCCUCUUUUCAUGGGGUGGUGAGGAGUGGUGGCCUGCCAGGUUAUUUUUGGCUAGGCACUGCAGCAUGGAGCCUUCAGCAGCCUUCAUUCAGUCAGUGGCCUUAAGUGGCAGCCCCUGUACCUGCAGAAUGUGAAUUGACGUUGCCAUGGAGACAGAACAACUCUUCCUGGUUCUGUCAAAAUCUAUCUUUCUCUGCCAGUAGGCAGGGGUCAGGAAAGAAACCCCAGUAGGUGCCUGGGAGAAGAUGGGGGAAGGGGAGAACUGCAUGGUGCCUUAUGGAAUGGGGGACACACCAGGGGCUUUAUGUGCUAAAAAGGUUCAUACAAAUCCCUUUGCCUUUUGACUGUUAGAAUCCAAAUAAGCCCUUGCAGAACUAAGGAACAUUUUAAGGUCUCUAUGUCCUUAGCUGUCACUGAUGGACCUGGGGGAUCUCUCAGCACAGUGUGUGUGUGUGUGUGUGUGUCUGUGUGUGUGUGUGUCUCUGUGUGUGUCUGUGUGUGUGUGCACAUGCACAUUGGUAGAGACAAAGGACAACCUUGAUGUCAGCAAGCCUUAGGCAUCUGUCUGUCUUCACCUCCUUGGUGCUGAGAUUAUAAGCAUAUAUUACCAAAUCCAACUGUUUUACAUGAGUUCUGGGGACCAAACUCAAAUCCAGAUUGCUUUCAAAAGAGCACUUUGCCCACUGGCCUAACUCCUUAGCCCCUUACCCUUACCCUUUUUCACUUCAAAUUAGAAGUAAGUUUGCUUAAUUAAAUACAAGUCUGUAUGUACCAUUGCUAAAAGCUGGAUUUAUGACAUUCAUACUUAUUUCCAUAGUACUCCUCAAUGCUAACAUGCACUCGGCUAAUCCACCUAUAGCUUUAGCAACAGUAUUGAAGUUGGGCUGUACAUACAAAAAGGAAAAACACAUGGGAGUCUUAGAAGCUACACUCAUUCUCACCCAUGUCUUCUUUGGGAGUCAGCUCUUCCAUGUUUCUAUGGGAUGGCAUGCAGGUACCUAAAACAUAUAGCUCCUGAAUUUCAGGAAGUGAGUCAGAAGUAUGUCCAUGCCGCCCAGCCAGGGGCCUGGUUUUGGGGCUUUGUUCAUGAGUAAUUUCUCUCUGCUCAGUAUUCUGGUUUAGUUCUGUGUUCAGCCCAGUAGCCUCUCUCUUGACUUCUGUUUUGGGCCCUGGACAUGGCUCUAAAUGUAAGCUUCAGUUUACAGUCCCAUGCCCUGGUGUCUCCUAUAGAUUCUCAGCUUGGAGCAGUAAAGGGAGCUUAUCCAGUCUCCCAGGAGGCAGGGACGAAGAUGGGACCUUAAUGCUGGGUUCUACUAAGUGUAGGUGUAUAACCAGCAUUCUGAACAGGACUCUGCACAAGCAUCGGGAUAUGGGGAGAAGCAUCAGGUUUGUAUUCUAACCCUUUCAAGAGCCCCCGAAGACUGGGUCAUUCUGCCUCAGUUUUCAAUGAGAUGCACACUCAGAAAUUAGCUCACCUAUAGCGGCCAAUCUGUCAAAAGGCUGUAUAGAACUCCAUGUAUGUAUUCAAAAAGUAUCUGUCCUUAUCUGUGUGUAGUCACCACCCAAAACCCCCAGCGAGGUUUAACUUUACUGCAUUUUAUACAUUGAUUCCAUCCAUCCAUUGCAUGCAGUAUUUUUGAAUUAAUAAAUGAAAUUCAAGUUCAAAUAAUUCAAUACUUCUAAAUCAUGUCCAAGUAGCCUUCCAUUUUCUUAUGUCUAGACAUGUUUAUAUACAAGAUGGCAAGUUCUGUGUUGAUUGGCUAGGUGGUAGGUAGAGUCUAGGUACUUAAUCAAAUUCUAAUAUAUGUAUUGUCAUAGUAAAGGUAUUUUGUAGACACAGAAAAUACUGUGAUCGCAUAACUUUAUAUAAAUACAGUGAGCCUGGACAAGAGAGGUUGACCUCAUCUAGUCAGCCAGCUGAAUGGCUCAAGAGCAACAACCCAGAGCUAUGUUCUGAAUGCUCAUAUCCCACUGAGGCACAUGCUGAGACCUUCACCUCGAAGUGGUAUUUUUAUGAGUUCUGAGUUUUUAGAAGAUGAAUGGCCAAUGGGAAUAUCCUUUUUAUGUGAGACUGGAGCGAGAGCCCCAUCCUCUUCAAUCAUCUGAGGACACCGUGAGGUGUCACAUGGGAACCAGGAAGCAGGCCUCACCAGAGACAGCAUUUCAAAACCAAGACUGCCAUUAACAAUCAGAUAUAAUACACACUUUUAUGCUUCUACUAGUCUUCAAGGCAGAAGAAAACCAAGAUGCCAAUACUAAAAUGGGAAUGGAAUAAAAGAAGAGAAUUGUGUACAUGAAGCACAGCAAAGAGUUUUGUGUGUGUGUGUGUGUGUGUGUGUGUGUGUGUGUGUGCACAGGAGGAUCAAGAUGGGCAGCUGGGCUAUGUGUGCACAUAAGGUUCAGCAUUUGCAAUUGCAUGUGUGUGUGUACAUGAAAAUAAACAUGAGCAGUUAUGUGUAUGUUCACAUGAGGCUUAACAUGGGCAGCUGUGUGUAUGUGUGUGUGUAUGUGUGUGUGUUCACAUGAGGCUUAACAUGGGCAGCUGUGUGUGUGUGUGUGUGUGUGCACGAGGAUCAAUAUGGGCAGCUGGGCUAUAUGUGCACAUGAGGAACAACAUGGGCAUCUGGAUUAUCUCUCAGACAGACUAAAGAACCAGGUGACUUGAAAUCUCUCUCCCGGUAGAUUCACACUAAUAAUACAAGCUUUUCCACAUGUUGCUCUGAAACAGAGGCCAUUGUGAAACACUUGGCAAUACCUGAGGACAUCUUAGAAACUCACAAAUACAAAUAGAAGCUAGGAGGUCUUGACAUCUCAUUAUAGAGCCAAGGGGUGCUAAUACAAGUUUAAAAAUUCACAGGACAUCUCCACACCUCCCUCUCCUACAACAGAGAAUCAUCUUGCCCCAAAUGUCAAGGUGUUGACUUGUACAUCCUUCUCUAGGACCAAAAUCUACAGGAAGUAUGUGCUUCUGUGGGCAUGGGGCCAAGCUAAACUGAAGAGCAAGGGAGAAUUCAGGGUUAAAGCAGAGGCCACUGGAAGCAGUGGGGAAGUAGGAAGCUGGUACACAGAAAGAGUCAAAUGGCAGUCUGCCCUUAGGAUGAGAGUUAGCAAGGAAAGGCUACCCACUCACUGUCACGUGCCAAUUCCAAUCAGCAAGAAGGGACCCUGCAAUGCAAUUUGUUCUACUUGAUUAUAGCUCAUUUGACUCACAGUCCAUGUUCAUGAUGAUCAAGUGCAAAUCCUACAAACUGUGUUUAACAAGAACGUGGUGUCCAUUAAUGCCUUCAUUAAUUUGAUUUCCUCCUUUAAAACAGAAACUGUUGAUAACUAAAUCUAAGCCAUGCCAUGUCUUUGGGCUUCAGUUCCUCGGUUUUAAAGGUAGAGAGGUUCAGAGAAGAGCCUGCAAAUCCCUGUGGAUGCUCAGUGCAAGAGAAAGCCAUCUUUUCACUUCCUUCUGUUACCAGGGCCUACAAACACCUGGAAAAACCUUCUUUAGAUUCAGAUUUUGGUAUCAUCUCAAUAAGAAUUUUGUUUUGUCCAAGAUGAGCCACAAUGCUAGGUUCUUAGGUUUGUUCAUCUGUCCUUUCUUACUCCUGUCUUUGUAGUAAGGGAAAAUGUCCAUGGUGCAUCUGCCAGAGCUUGUGAAUUUCAUGGGGCUGGGUGGACUUGGGCAUACUCCUUAUAAUUGUUCUGUAACCCAAUGACAUAAAGCAACAGACGCUGAUGGGCAAGUACAUUGCUGGUUUUAAGGCCAAAGUUCACAUAGUGUGAGAAACUCUUCACUAGGGAGAAAGAGACUAAGACUCUUAGAAAAGAUUUUGUAUUAUUAGCUGUGUGUGUUUGAGUAUGUAUAUGUAUAUGUGCAUACUUGUGUUUGUGCAUGUAUUUGAAUGUAUGGGUGGUGUGUAUGUGUGUACAUGUGUAUAUGUGUGUAUGUGUGAGUGUGGUUGUGUAUAUGUGUGAGUGUGUGUAUGUGUGUGAACAUGUAUGAGUGUGUGCAUAUGUGUGUAUACAUAUAUGAGUGUGUGUGAGAGUGCAUGCCUGUAUAUGUGUGUUAUGAGUAUGUAUGAGUGUGUGAAUAAGUAUGCGUAUACAUGUAUGUGCAUGUGUUAGUGUGUGCACAUGUGCGAGUAUACAUGUGUACAGGUAUGUGUGUGUGUGUUUAUGUGUAUACAUACAUGCACAUGCAUGUGAAGGCCAGAGAAUAAAUUCAUAAAUGCUACCUACUUGAUUGUUGAUACAAAACAAACUCAAAUUAAAUAAAACAGAAGUACACAGUUUCUAGUAGACAAUGGAACAGUCAGUCCCUGAGGAAUUUCUUGUGUGAACACACAGGCUUAUUUUACAAGAAUUUGAUUAUAACAAAAGAUACAAGCUCACACCAUUUAAAGUAAAAUGAUCUCUCAGUGAUAUCUGGAUCCCAGGAAAAUUAGAACAGAUGCAAUUUAAAUAUAAGAGUUGAGUAUUUAUCAAUAAAGAUUUUUAAAGUGUUAUUUUUAUUUAUCAUCAUUUGGCAGAAUAGGUAUAGAUUCUAUAUAUAGAGAAAUAGGUAGAUAGAUAGAUAGAUAGAUAGAUAGAUAGAUAGAUAGAUAGAUAGAAGAUACAUGAUAGGUAGCUGAGAGAUAAAUGAUAGAUAGUUAGAUAGAUAGAUAGAUAGAUAGAUAGAUAGAUAGGCAGACAGACAGAUAUAACAUUUGGAACAAUGACAAAAAGAUAUAAGAUCCUGACCCAGCAGUUCAGGAUUUGCUGCUCUGGUUCCCAGCACCCAGAAAGCUGUGGCUCCCAGCUACCUGCUCACUCCAGCUCCACAAAUCUGGUGCCCCCUUCUGGUUUCCAUGGGUACCUACACAUGCAUAGAUGCACACGUGCAAGUUGAUACAAAUAAAACUAAAAUUAAAAAUAUUUUAAGAGAUGAUCUAAAACUCGCUGUUAGUUUACAGGAGAAUAGCACCAAAUCUAUUUUUUCCUUUCCUGUGGUUUGAUUUUUAACCUUUUCCACCAAUUUUUCUAAAUCUGCACAAUGCUGAGAAGCAUGGCUGAUAAGAUUUCUCCCUGAAUCAUUCAUGUGCAGUCAGGUGACAGGGACUGGUGGCUAUUCUUCAUCUUCAUCCCUCAAACUGGUAUGGAUCCAUUUUGAAAGCCAAAGUCAAAAGCAAAAGCAAAGCCCUCAGAAGCUUCCAUGGCCACGGCCGUCAUAUUUCUCCCGGGGUGACUUUACACAUUAUAAUUGAUUUGACUUUAUAAAGCUCUUCACGAUGUUGGUGCAGCCAGAGCCAGAGUCCUGGUUAAUAUUUGAUGGGGAAAUUCAAGGAUCCAUUUGCUAGUAUCUCAGGCUUGCCAUCCAGUUGCUACUCAGGUGGCUGAGGCAGAGAGAUUACAGGUUCAGGCCCAACCUUGUCUCAAAAUAAAAUGUUGGGAAGAAGGGGCGGGGCUGGAGCUGACACCGAGCAGAAGAAUACUUACCUAGUGUGUGCAAGAUCCUAAAACAAUCCCUAGUAUAGUCAAUGAUAAUAAUAAUAAUAGUAAUAAUAAUAAAUUAUCAGAUCAGUAAAGACUUGAUUAUGUGCCAGAAUUUUCCUCAUUUGAUGCACUGUAUUCUCUAGCACAAUGCUGACUUAAGCCAUUCCUGCCCACUGUAUAACGAAUGGCAUUCUUCCUUGAGAGAGGAAAUUGCUUUUGCUACUCUCAUCAGAUCAGUGCCAGUCCCUUCUCUAUGUAUCAUGUGGCUAUAAAUUUUGCAUGUUCACUUCUCUCUUCAAGGAAAGGGCCAGUUCUUUCAAGUCAAAAUGUCCAGGAGCUGAUUUCAGAACCCUUCACAAAGCUUCUCCCUUGCCUGGUAUUUAGCAAGCUCUUGUUCUUUGCUCCUACCUGCUGAGUUAGCUGUCUCUGCUUUCAGAAUUGCAGAUAAAAGAGAAGAAAGUGACCUCCAUCAGCCAGAAACCAGAAUGUAGUGGGCUGACCUAAUGUUGCUUGUAUUCUGAUGCUAAUUUAGGGCCCCCAAGCCUGGUUACCCCAAGGAAGAGAGUCCACACAAAAAAACACUGUGUGACUCUGUAGUGGCUAUUCCUGGUUGUCAACUUGACAAUAUUUGAAAUGAACUACAAUCCGGAAUUGGAAGGCUCACCAGUGACCCUUAUCUGGAGGCUUGGAGAUCCUUAUCUGGAUCUUGGUUUGAAGAUCUUGAAUCAUAGUGGCUAUGGAUUCCAGAAGAUUGAAUCUCCGAGUUUAAGGAACACACCUUUAAUCUGGGCUACGCCUUUCAUCUGGGAUUAAAGGUGUGGUGGAACACACCUUUAAUCUGGGCUACACCUUCUGCUGGAGACAAUAUAAGGACAUUGGAAGAAGGGAGUCUAGCUCUUGCUCUUGCUCCUUCGCCUGCUUGCCGUGUGAGACUGAGUAACUGCUAGAUCCUUGGACUUCCAUUCACAGCUGCGACUGAACAAUUGUAAGGAAUUGGGCUGCCGACUGUAAGUCAUCAAUAAAUUCCUUUACUAUCUAGAGACUAUCCAUAAGUUCUGUGACUCUAGAGAACCCUAACUAAUACAGACUCUUAUUGUGAUUUGUAAAGAAGGAUACCAACAGCUAAUAGGUGGGCAGAAGAGACACAGGUUUGGUUGAGGCUUUACUGGGUUGGGGCAGGGAGGUUUAGCACUUAGCACACAAAAAAAGUUUGUGUCUUGUUUCCCCGACCAGGAGAAUGAGAAGAAGAAAGAAGGAGGCGAGUCCCUUCUUUUUAACAAUAGUUACAGUCAUUUCUCUCAUCCCAGAUCUCACCUGGACCCUGAUCUGCCAGGUAACACAUGCUCAAGCUAAAUUCCCAAGCUUCAGUGAAGCCUUUCAGAAUAAAUAUAAAAGCUGUAAGAAUAUUGAAGGCAGGCCUUUGAGUUUGAAAGACUUCAUAAUUGGCUGCAGGGCCUACCCUUCAUAUAGCAAAGCUUUCUUUCAUUAUAAAACAUCAGAGAUACGGGAUAAAUCUUAGCCACCUAUCCCCCCAGGACCUUCUUUCUUUCUUGCCUGUAGGAAUAAGAAAUGAAGAUUGUUUACCUGGAAAUCAUAGUCAGAAGAAUCAAUCAGGUUUGUGGACUUGGACUUUCUGUUUUCUCUCCCCAUUCCCCCUAGCAGCUCUUUGAGGUAACAAUUUCUAUGCCACUGACAAAUUCUUUAACUCCAAGGGUGCUGUUAGUCCUGAGAACUGCCUUCGCCUGAAGAAGAAAUGAGCACCAGAUACUACUUCAAACUCCCCAGUCCCACUUCUUUGCUGCUCCCUGGCUUAGCCUUAACAGUGACCUGACUACACAGAAUAUUCUAGAAUGCUCUAGAAUGUGGAUAUGCUAAGAUACAAAUCCAGUGAAAAGAAAGAACCCAAGCCUCUCCACAUAAAGUCAUCCUUUUAGAACCACCAUCCUUUGGCUGUAUGUGAAGCAUCUUCACAGACUCAAACACACACAGGCUCAGCAGGCUCUCCUCCAUCUAUAUAGUACUGAGCAAAGGGGUAGGGUUAAAACUCUUUGCAAAAAAGCCAUGGACAGAGUUCCUGGCCUCUUGGUUGACCAGUUAUCUACAGUGGGCCAUCUAUUGGGAGCUAAAUAAAAGGACAAAGGUGCUUCACUAA